rnacentral:lncRNA from 1 species
UACAGUUGGUAUCAGAGCCGCGUUUCCUCGGACCCAUCCCUUACACAAUAGUGCCUUAGAGAAAUACUCACCGAUAGAUCGUUAGUCAACCAUUCCUUAUGAAUGCAGGUACACAGAAAUGAGGAGAGGAAGGCCCCCACUAAACCGAGCGGCCCAAGAUAACUCGCUUCGGGAGGAUUUAGACAGACUAUUUGAGAUGGUGGAAGCUCUCGUAGCUGCCCAGCAAAGGCGAGAGGAGAAAAUGGAGUUACCUGGACCUCCUCCACUAUCGCAGGUUGAGCCCCCGCUACAGCAGGCUGAUCCCGAGCCACCUCGGUAGGAGCCUGCUCUUCCACAGUACCACCCGGCACCACAGCCGCGGUACGACCCGGUACCACAGCCACGGUACCACCAGGCACCGCCACAGCACAUUCCAGUACCCCCACCACAUCAGCAAGUGCCACCACAGGGCCCCCUAGUUCACCCUCAACCGGCCCCAGUCCCUCUACCCCGGGAUCCUGCUCCUUCUUUGAUUGACCCCGGCUUCAUAGAGAGGUACAGAAGACUGAACCCUUCUACUUUUGCAGGGGGGUCCUCUUUUGAAGAGGCCCAAUACUGGCUGGCAGAGACCGAGAGAGCUUUUGAGACCUUGGGAGUAGUUCCUGAGCAGAGGGCUGCCAUUGCCUCCUACAUGCUGGUAGGGGAAGCAGUACGCUGGUGGGAGCUCAAGCGGACCACCCUGCCCACACCAGCUACUUGGGAGCAGUUCUUAGCGGCAUUCCACGCGGAGUAUCUCCCUAAACACAUCCAACACCUGAAAGAAAUGGAGUUUGCUCAAUUGGCCCAGGGAAACAUGACAGUGUCUGAGUAUGCCCGUAAGUUCCUGGAGCUGGGCCGAUAUGCCCCAAAGACAUUGAUGGAUGAGGGCCGAAAGGCCAGGAAGUUUCAGUGGGGUCUCCACUCGGAGAUCAGACAGCACUUACUGGUAAUGGAGCUCGAGACAUAUUCAGCAGUCUUAGCAAAGGCGCAGAUCAUAGAAAGGAGCUUCGACACCCACCCUCAGCUAGCGGGGAGUUCCCGACCCUCAGCCCCGCUCCGCAGGCCAGCACCUACCGCGCAUGUCCAACCCAGUAAGAGGCCCAGACCCGCCAUCCAGGCCCCUCCUCAAGCUACGGGGGUAGCACGUGAGAAGAUCUGCCAGCACUGCGGCAGGGAUCACGGGGAUCGACCCUGCUACUGCCUCAGCAACACUUGUCGCAUAUGCGGCAGUGCCCAACACUAUGCAAGGGAAUGCCUGAGGAACCAGAAUUAAAGAAGGCCUCCAAUCCAGGGCAGAGUUUACAACCUUACCUAGAAGGAUUCGGACGCAGACCCGGAUGUGGUACAUGGUAUGUAUACUAUAUCUAGCCACAUUGCUCAUGUUUUGUUUGACACUGGUGCAUCACAUUCUUUUGUUUCACAUGUUCUUGCUUCCAAAAUUUGUGUAUCACCUAAUAGACUUGAUUCAUUGUUGCUUGUAUCUACCGCUGGGGGGGAGACAUUGCUAGGAGAGGUUAUCUACAGGGCAUGUGCCAUGGAGAUAGCAGAUAGAAAAUUGAGGGUAGACCUGAUAGGGUUAGACACGGGGGAUUUUGAUGUAAUUCUAGGAAUGGAUUGGCUAGCGGCGUAUCACGCCACCAUAGACUGCUUUAACAAAAAGAUUGUAUUUAAUCCUCCCAACGAGGAGCCAUUUACAAGUUAAUAAAAUCAUUCAGUACUGAUUUUCCCUGAUGGCAAGUUUUCUUAAUUCCCAGUGCCUUAAUCUUGUAUUUUCUCUAACUAGGUAAACCCAAGAAAGAAGUUUGUAUCCAAGAGAUUCCAGUAGUCCGAGACUUUCCAGACGUAUUUUUGGAUGAACUGCCCGGUCUACCAGUGGACAGAGAGGUCGAGUUCACCAUAGACUUAUAGCCAGGUACCCAGCCCAUCUCGGUUGCUCCUUACCGAAUGAGCCGCAUUGAGAUGGAAGAACUAAGGAAACAGAUCACUGAGUUACAAGAUAGUGGUUUCAUUAGACACAGUGUUUUCCCUUGGGGUGCCGGAGUUACUUUUGCAAGGAAGGGAGAUGGAACGUUGAGACUGUGCAUUGAUUACAGAGGGAUAAACAAGGUAACAAUUAAGAACAAAUAUCCUCUUCCCCGGAUUGAUGACCUUUUCGAUCAGUUGCAGGGUGCACAGGUCUUUUUUAAGAUAGAUCUACGAUCAGGUUACCAUCAGGUAAAGAUAAGAACAGAAGACAUCCCCAAGACGGCAUUCCAAACCAGUUUCGGACACUAUGAGUUCCUGGUCAUGCCGUUUGGGCUAACCAACGCCCCGGCCAUCUUUAUAGAUCUAAUAACAGGAUCUUCAGAGAGUUCUUGGAUCAAUUUGUCAUCGUGUUCAUCGAUGAUAUCUUAGUCUACUCAAAAAGUAGAGAAGAACAUGCUCAUCAUCUUGCCCAAGUCCUACAGGUCCUCAAGGAAAAGAAGUUGUAUGUAAAGUUGACCAAGUGUGGAUUCUGACUUGAGCAAACCGCCUUCCUGGGACAUGUUAUAUCGAAGGAAGGGGUAUCAGUGAACCCCGAAAAGGUUGAAGCGGUACUUGGUUGGGAAAAGCUGACAACAGUUAAGGAAAUUCGCAGCUUUCUGGGGAUGGCAGGUUAUUACUGCCGGUUUGUCGAAGGGUUCUCUAGUCUAGCAGCUCCUCUAACCCGACUCACAAAGAAGAAUGCAAAGUUUGAAUGGAAUGAGGACUGCAAAACGAGUUUUUCAGAAUUGAAGAAGCGACUGACUACUGCACCCGUGCUGGCUCUACCGAGUGGAUAAGGAGGGUAUACAGUUUAUAGUGAUGCCUCCUAUCUGGGCCUUGGUUGUGUCUUGAUGCAUCCUGAUGCAGCAUGGAAAGGUUAUAGCAUAUGGGUCCAGACAGCUAAAGAAUCAUGAGAAGAACUAUCCUACCCAUGACUUGGAGCUUACCGCAAUCAUACACACUUUGAAAACCUGGCACCAUUAUUUGUAUGGAGAGACCUUUCAAAUCUAUACCGAUCAUAAGAGUUUGAAGCACAUCUUCACUCAGAAGGAUCUCAACAUGCGUCAGAGAAGGUGGAUGGAACUCCUCAAGGACUAUGAUUGUGAUAUCCUAUACCAUCUAGGUAAGGGCAACGUGGUAGCCGAUGCCCUCAGCAGGAAAAGUGCAGGCACCCUAGCCCAUUUGAUGGUUUCAGAAUGUAGGUCAAUUGGGGCCACGCAACAGGUUCGACUGCGAGAUCUGAAGAGGGCCACAUGUUUGGGCCACCUAGCAGUCCAACCCGAGUUAAUCCAAAGAAUAAAGGAAGCCCAGUCAGUCGACCCCGCCCUAGUAACCCGCAAGAAGGAUGCAGAACAGGGAGUGAGUUCAGAAUUCUAGCUCUCUGCCGAUGGAUUGAUUCGUUUCAAGGACAGAGUGUGUGUCCCAGAUGACAGUGAGUUAAAAAGAGACAUCAUGACGGAGUCCCAUAGUUCAAAGUUUGCCAUGCAUCUAGGAAGUACCAAAAUGUACCAAACUAUGCGACCUCGGUUCUGGUGGAAUGGGAUGAAGAGAGAUAUAGCUGACUUUGUAUCUAAAUGUUUGGUAUGUCAGCAGGUCAAGACAGAGCAUCAGCGUCCAGGUGGGUUACUUCAGCCCUUACCGAUCCCGAAAUGAAAGUGGGAACAUAUUACCAUGGACUUCGUAUCGGGGCUACCCAAGGCGCGUUCAGGACACGAUGCCAUAUGGGUAAUCGUUGACCAACUUACUAAGUCUUCCCACUUCCGAGUCAUCAGGAUGACCAAUUCAUUGGACAAGUUAGAUGUAUAUCCGGGAGAUAGUCAGAUUGCAUGGGGUUCCAGUAACAGUAGUGUCCGACAGGGAUCCCAAGUUCACCUCUCGGUUUUGGAAUAGUUUCCAGCAAGCUAUGGGAACAAAGCUGUCUCUUAGUGCCUUCCACCCCCAAACUAAUGGACAAUCAGAGAGGACAAUUCGUACGCUUGAGGAUAUGCUCCGAGCUUGUGCCCUUGACUCUGGGGGCCAUUGGGACGACCAUCUACCCCUGAUAGAGUUUGCCUACAACAACAGCUAUCAAGGGAGCAUUGGCAUGGCUCCGUAUGAGGCGUUAUAUGGACGCCCAUGCAGAUCACCGAUUUGUUGGGAGGAAGUGGGCGACAGAAGAUUGUUCGGUCCGGAGUUGGUAGAGGAGACCACGUCCAAGAUAGUUAAAAUCAAGAAGAACAUUCAGACAGCUCAGAGUAGGCAGAAGAGUUAUGCAGAUAUCCGGAGGAGAGACCUAGCGUUUGAAAAAGGCGACCGUGUGUUUCUUAAGGUCACUCCUUUCAAGGGAAUUAGUAGGUUCGGCAAGAGGGAAAAAUUAAACCCCCGAUAUAUUGGACCCUUUGAAAUAUUAGACAGGAUUGGUACCACUGCCUACAGACUAGCACUGCCUCCCGAGCUCUCCAGAGUCCACAACGUGUUUCACGUAUCUAUGCUACGUAAGUACAACCCGGAUCCUUCUCAUGUCUUGGCUCAUGAACCGCUUUCACUCCAAGAGAACUUGUCUUAUGAAGAAGUACCGGUCGGUAUCACGGACCGAAAGAGCAUAAUACUCCGCAACCGGUAAAUAUCAUUUGUAAAGGUCGUGUGGCAGAACCACACGCCUAGGGAGGUUACUUGGGAACUGGAAUCAGAAUUUAGAGCCCAGUAUCCCCAUUUGUUCGAUCAAGAGUAAGAGGCAAAUUUGGGGGACCAAAUUUCUUUAAGGGGGGGAGAGUUGUAACGCCCAAUAAUUUUAGCAUUUUUAUUAUUAUUUUUUUUAUUAAUUUUAAUUUUUAUUUAUUUUAUUUAUUUAGUUUAAUUUAUAAUAAUAAAAAAUAAUAAUAAUAAUAAAAAUGAUAAUAAUUGUAAAAUUGGGUAAAAAUAUUAUUUGGAUUUAAUUGAAAUUGAUUUUGGAAAAAAAAGGGUGAAAAUUAGGAUUCUGGGGGUAUUUUUGAAAAGAAAAUCGGAAACCGGGGGUCAAAACGCAAUUUAAAAAAAUUACAGCCCGUCAGCACCACGUCAACAGCCACGUCAGCAGCCCAGUCAGCAGCCCUGGCAAACCAGGACCUGCCACGUGGCGAGACCACGUCGACCCGGGAACGGGCCACGUGGGGAAUCCGCGUGCGCCCGAUCGGACGGCCCAGAUGCGUCCCCGCGCGCACGGACGGUCCAGAUUUAAUCAAAAUGGACAGCUGUGAUCAAAAGGCAAAAGGGUAUAAAUAAAACCCCCCACACCUGACCACAAAAACCCUAGCCGCCUGCCCUCGUCGGAGAAGACGAACCAGACGCCGGAGGAGUCGGCCGCCGCCACCCGCCGCCGCACCGGGGAGUUUUUCGACCGCCGAUCGAGGUAAAUUUCAUACCCCCAGCUCGUUUUUCCACACUGAGUUCCCCUGUGGCCAAAUCGGAGCCAAAAUCUCGGCCAAACGGCCAGAAAACACGGUCGAAACCCAACGGCGCCGCCGCGCCCCUCCUCAAUUUUUGCCUCCGAUGAGGCCCUUCCCGGCCUCCGUUUGAUAAAUUUUUAUAUCACCGUGAUCACCAUUCUUUUCUCUACAGGUUGAUCGGAGCCGAAUCACCAAAACACGAACCUCGCCGGAGAGCCGCCGCACCCGAGAGCACCGCCGCCGGUAAGCUUCAGUUUUUCGUAAUUUUUUGGGCCCCCGAGGGCCCUAGGGUUGUUUUAUCGCAGGGACCGAUGCAAGUGUGGCCGAAUCCGACCGAAAACGGCCAACCCGAGACGAAUCGCCGCCGUAAGCAGCGACGUCGUCGUCGGGGCACGGCGGAGCCGCCGUGCCGAAAUGGCGAUAUUGGCCGAAAGGGGCCCUGGGUCUAAUUUGGAAUUUUUUGAGACACGUGCAGGUACCAGUAGUGCAUUUCAGUUCCACGGAAAAAAUUCAGGGAAAAUUAGGGACAGCCUGCAGGCGCACUGUAGAGCCGUAUUCGGACCCCGAAACAAGUAAGGACCCCUUACCCUAUUUCCUAUCACGGUAUUAAAGUUCAAUAAAUGAUAAAACGGUAUUUCAUGAAUCAACAGAUGUGUGAAAUUGUUUAAGGUCGCUAAUGGAGCCCGAGUCUGGUGUGUUUGUCUGUUAGCUGUUGUUUGGCAUAUUUUACAGUUUUAAAUGCAGCAUGAGGUCUGAUAUUUUCAUUUCAUAGUUUCGUGUGCAUAUAUCACUGUUUUAUUGAUUAUAGGUUGAAUGACUGAGAACCCAAUGUUGUAUGUCGUCUUGUUUGGCAUAAAUUACUGGUUUGCUUGUUUGUGUGUGAAUUGAUGAUGCUGACUGAGGAAAAAGGGAAUGAAAGGUUAUGUAAAUUGAUAAUUGUAUAAUGUGGUCAGCCUGACUAGAUAUCCUGAGAGAUGGUGGACGGAUCGGGUCCGUAGGGAACCCUACUGGGAUUGUGGUCUCUCAUACCGGACGGGGUAUGGAGACCUUAUGUGUUUUGGCGCCCAUACCGGACGGGGUAUGGGGACGGCCCGUUUCACCCUCAUACCGGACGAGGUAUUGAGGUUUAUAGUUUUGGCGCCCAUACCGGAUGGGGUAUGGGGACGGCCCUGGAAUCUGAUUACAAGUGUUAAAGGUUCACGGGUAGUGGGACCCCUAUGGAUGCCCAUGGAUACUAGUAGGCUGGUAAAUAAUGAAAAAUAUGUUGUGUAACGAUUGAGAUGCAAAAGACGUGAUAAGUAUUAUGUUAUACAGUUCCUAUGAUUUCAUGAUGAUGAUAAUGUUAUUGCUUUCGUAUAUUGUUUUAUGAAUUUCACCGAGGUAAGUGGAUAGUAAAAGAUUUUAUUAUUGAUAAAAGAAUUUGUUGUAAACUAUGCUCCAUUGGUCUUUUUGUGUUUUCUACCCACAUUUACCUCCGUGACGGUGAGAUAGUGUGAUGUCUUUACUGGGCUGGUGUAGCUCAUUCCUUAUUUAAUCAUUUCAGAUCAAGAAGACAUUGUUCCCGAGCCCGUUCCGUAGGAAGACGACGAAGGGGAUGCCUGAAGACUCCGUAGUCAUAUUUAUAGCUUUUAUUUUCGAGUUUCUCUUUUAGUUAGUUUGUUCUUUUAUACUUUGAGCACGUUUUUUAUUUUAGUGUAAGGGAUGUUUAAUUAAAAUUUUUAUUACGCUUCCACAUUUGACCUUUUUAAUACACAUAUUUCAUUUUAAAUUUCCGGGGCCGUUACAAUUCAUGUGGAUGGUCGCCGACCCAAAAGGAGGAUAACGUUUUGCUAAAUUGACGGGGGAAGAUAUGGGGAGGAUUGAAUAUACUCAUAAAAUCUACUUAAUGAAUGCAAUUCCGAAACAAUAACCCCCUAAAAUUAAACUCCCUCUCUAAUUGAAUCUAUAAUUCUAAAAGGAAAGCAAAAGUAAUGACUAACGAAAUAAAAUAAGGAAAGAAAAAAUGUCACGGACUUACCGAUAAGUUGAUCUCCGCUCCUUAGCUCAAUAAGACUUCUAAAAACUCUUACUUCUAGAAGAACUUGAAGAAGCUAAUUUUAACAAAAAUAUUAAAAGAAGAAAAACCGAAACUCUCAAGAAUUUUAUCAGAUUUAUUCUCAAAUUUGUAGCAUUUUUCGGACAAUCCAGAUGAGUACAAAAAUCUUGAGAUAAUUAAUAAAAUAAUAACAUAGAUAAAAUUCUAUCUUAAUAUAAGAUAAUUACAUAAUAAAAUAAUUAUUCUAUCCCAAAUAAAUUAAUUAAAUAAUUUUAAGGGAUAGAAUUAUAAUUAAAAUAAUAUUUAAUUUAAAUCCAUAUUUAUCCCAUGUAAAAUCUAUUUAAAACACAUGUGGAAAUUAAUUUUGACACAUGAGUAUUUUGAAGAGUGGGUCCCAAGCCUUUUUUAAAAGUUUUAAAAUAAAAUAAAUAUUAAAUAUUUAAAAAAGGAAAAAGAAGGGACAGCCGGUUGGGUUAACCAGAUGGGCCAGGCCGAUUGGGCUACCCAGAUGGGCUGGGCCGGUUGGGCUACACAGAUAGGUCGGGCCGAGUGGUCCGCGCAGGUUGAGCGGCAGAAAGCUCGCAGGAGUCGUGGGCUAGCAGGCUUGGCGUGCAUAUGAAUAACAUCACAACAUACCUCAUAUUUGUAUUUAUUGAUGGAAAAUGGUACCAUGACCUACUGGGUUACCUUUAUUUUGCCACUCUCAUUCAACCACUACAACCGGUAGAGGUUGGGAUGGGCGGUGUAUGUUAGUCCCAAUCUUUCCACGAACAGGGUGCUUGGCAUAUUGGUGAAGCUUCCUCCAUUGAUGAUCAUACUACACACCUUACCAUUGACCAGAUAGCGAGUGUGGAAUAUAUUCUUCCGUUAUUCAUGGACCUCGUCCUUGGCGUGCAAGUUGAGGGCCCUUUGCAGAACAAAGUUAUUGCUCCAGUUGGGAGUUUCUCCUGCAAGAAGACUUUAGUGAAGAUAAAACUCUCUCUUAUCUCCGCUCGUGUUUACCUCACAAUCUCUCAAUUGAUGACUUCGUCUGUCGAGUUGAGGGUUCGAAAUUGAAAUCACUUGAAUCGAGUCUGCAUGUUAGUCCUUAUGACACAACAAGGAACCCUAAAGGAUUUUGAUUUCUACUAAAGUUCAUAACAAGCACAUAGAAAAAGGAAUGGUGUGCCCUUUGUUAUGUUAAGCACUAAUAACAAUUAGUCGCUUAAUUAUGUAAUGGAAUAAACGUAAAAUAAAGAAUGAAACGUAAAUCACAACGAAUGACAAUUCAAGCUAAUGAGUAGGGAUCCGAUCAACUCCGAUGGAUAUAAUUGGUAGGUGUAUCUUCCUAUACUACCCCCAAUUUAUCAGCUAUACUCUACAAGCGGUCAAGUUUCUUUAUGCAACGUUGAUGCAGAUUACAAAAAUGCAAUUCAAAAAUUAAAUGUGGAUAAUGUGCGAAAUAAAAACAAAAGUUUUCAUUCACACCAGUUAGGCAACGUACUUUACUUUCGAUUUCUCAAAGGAUUUUCGAUCACUAAUUAGGCAGUUAUUCUGGCUUUGUGAUACAAAAUGCAAAUGUUGUGUCAAUUACCUUAUCGAGUACAAUUGGAAUAUUUUUGGUAUUUUUUUAUAUGCAAUUAUUUUUAAAAUAAUAACACGAACUACUUGAAUUGAACAGAUAUAUAUGAAUUCCAGCAUGAUGCAAUACGAAUUAACAAUCAAAUAAAUUUGAAUGCUAAUUUAAGAACAAAAUGUUAAAGUAAAUAAAAAUAUAUUUGGGUUUCUAGAAGUCAAAGCUCUAAUACCAGAUGAUGCAGGAGAGUAUAAAGAGAAUCAAAUCUACUUCUGAAACUCACUCAACGUAUGCAAUACCGAAACAAUAACCACCUAGAAUUAAACUCAUCCCUCUAAUUGAAUCUAUAAUCCUAAAAGGAAAGUGAAAAAAAAUACUUAGAGAAAUAAAAUAAGGAAAGAAAAAAUGUCACAGACUUACCGAUAAGUUGAUCUCCGCUCCUUGGCUCAACAAGACUUCUGAAGACUCUUACUUCCCGAAGAACUUGAAAAAGCUAAUUUUAACAAAAAUACUAAAAGAAGAAAAGUCGAAAUUCUCAAGAAUUCUCUCAAAUUUAUUCUCAAAUUGUGUUUUACAUCCUAGGGUAAAAGGUUUAUUUAUAGUCUUUCUCGGACAAUCUAGAUGAGUAAAAAAAUUUUAAGAUAAUUAAUAAAAUAAUAACAUAAAUAAAAUUUUAUCUUGAUGUAGGAUAAUUAUAUAAUAAAAUAAUUAUUCUAUCCUAAAUAAAUUAACUAAAUAAUCCUAAGAGAUAGAAUUAUAAUUAAAAUAAUAUUUAAUUUAAAUUCAUAUUUAUCCCAUAUGAAAUCUAUUUAAAACACAUGUGAAAAUUAUUUUUAACACAUAAGUAUAUUAAAACAUGGGUCCAAAGCCUUUUUAAAAGGUUUUAAAAUAAAUAAAUAUUAAAUAAUUUAAAUAUUUUAAAAAAAUGGAAAAGAGGGGUCGGCCGGUUGGGCUACCCAGAUGGGCCGGGCAGGCCAGUCCGCGCGAGUUGCGAUGGAGAAAGCUCACAGGAGUCGCAGGCUAGCGGGCUUGGGCCGUCCGUGGGCUUGUUUGCUUGGGCGGCCAAGUGGGAAUCCCAGGGCGCAGGUUGUGCGCAGGGUCGCGCACAUGCUGCUCAGGUCUUACGCGUAUGUGGCGCGUGGGGUGUGCGGGCUNNNNNNNNNNNNNNNNNNNNNNNNNNNNNNNNNNNNNNNNNNNNNNNNNNNNNNNNNNNNNNNNNNNNNNNNNNNNNNNAUGCAUGGGUGGAUUUCCAUGCUUGUUACUCACGUGCCAAAGGUAGUUCACGCAUGCCGCACGUGUUUUCCAUCUUCGUGUCGAGCUUUAGACCACUCUUUGUGCUUCGUCAUUGAUUGUGUUGCUUACCCAAUCCUGAACAAGCAAAUUAAAAAUUCCUUGAAGCUUACGAGUUUGACUUCAGGUAAUAGGACCUACAAGCAACUGUGCUUAUUUUUCCAUUAGGCUUAAUUCGUCGAGGACUUUAAAGUCCUACGAGUUCUCUUAUUUUAUUGCGGUAUCCUUCGUGAUGGUUUUUGCAUCAUGAAUUGCAUAGACUUUUGUGGUGAUGAAUGUGUAACAAUUAUAAGGUUUUCAUAUGAAUAAUAAGUUGAUAUAAAGAUAAACUUAUUAUUUGAGAGGAUUUAUUGUUAACAUUUGAUCAUUACACUAAGAGUACCACUUACAAGUUGAUAUUACUAUCCAAAAACUUAAUAUUAAUGUUAUGUUAGGUAUCUUAAGAUGUAUUUAAUAAUUAUUUAAAAUUUAAAUAUUAAUUAUUUGCCUUGUUAUGUGAAUAUAUAUGCUUAUUUGAUUUGUUUUCUAUACAGUAUUCAUAUAUGCUACUAUUGUGUCUACUAUCACAAACAAUAUUCUCAUACUUAAUGAGUCAAAUUUUAAUGAUUGGAAGGAGAACAAGUUAAUCGUUCUAGGUUGUAUGGAUCUAGACCUUGCAUUGAGAACUAAUCAACCUCUCCUCUUAUGGCUAAAAGUACUUCUGAAGUUAGAAGAUAUUUUGAGAAGUGGAAACGCUUUAAUCGCUUAAGUCUAAUGAUCAUUAAGUGUGGCAUUCCAAAAGCCUUUAGAAGGGUAGUAUCUAAUAAGAUUACUAAUGUUAGUGAAUUCCUUACUUAAAUUGAGAACCGUUUUGCAAAAAAUAAUGAAGCUGAAACAAGUAUCAGCUUGAUUUCUAAGGUUUUUCUCCUAAAACCAAAACAUACAUCAAAUAUCAUGGGAAUACGCAAAAAAAGCCAAAUCCUUUUUGCAGUUUAAAGAUGUGAUUCUUUGGGACUCUCUAUAUAUGUGACACCCCUGAACCUAAUUGAUAUUGGAUGCAUUUAUUUUAAAACUUUGGAAUUUAUUUUAACAAUUAAAAUAUUAUAUGCAUAUUUACAAUUUUAAUAUUAUUCUAAAAAGGAAAUUAAAAACUUAAAAACAAAGAAAAAUAAAAGGAAAAUAAUUAAAAACAUAGGUAUAGGAAAACACACCGCGGGCAAGCCUCAUGGGAAAUGGCCCGCGGGUGCGCUUGCGGAUCCCCUGCCCGCACACCUGUGCUCUUAUACACCCACUCGCCAGCACACCCGCUCACUCGCACGCUUGCAUGCUCACGAGCCCGCCUGCUCGCACGUUCCACACCUGUUCUCUCACACUCCUUUUACGCCUACACAUCUACACGCUUGUGGAACAGUGCCUGCACGCUCGUAGAACAGUGCCUACACGUCCUGGUGGACCAAAAGCUAGCCUGCCAUAUUCCCUUUGCCACUUGGUUUGCAUGCAAGCCUCCCUCGCAAACCAGUCAACCAUUUAGGCUCAUCAACAGCCUUCUUUUCUUACAUGUGAUAUGAUGAAUGACAAUGCCUUCUCCUUUGGUAUUUAAGCUUUAUUUCUCUCCUCCCCUUGUCACCUAUAUAGAAGAAGGAAAACUUGAGAGUUUGAAGGAAAAAUAAGCAAGCCUGAGAGCCCAAGUAAACCACCAGUUCCUCCUCUGAUGUUGAAAGCUUGUCACUGAGCCUUUUCCUCUCUUCGUGCACUACUUGGACGACCAUUGUAGCUGCCAUUGUCCCUCAACCCAUGAACUCUUAUAUUUCUCUUUAGAAAUUGAGCCUUUCUAGGUUUUGAUGCAAUUUCGGGUAUGGACUGGCUGGAAGCCUAUCAUGUCGUUAUUGACUAUUAGGACAAAACUGUAACCCUCCGUCCUUUUGAGAAGAAAGAUUUUUAGGUGAAAUGUUUAAAACUUUAUUUUUCAUAAACUUUUAUUUUAUAAUUAACUAGAUGUUUUGAAUUAAAAUGCUUGAUCUUUUAAUUUGACAUGUGUGGUGGAAUUUGAAUAAAUUAUCUGUCAUUUUUUCCUAGUCUCUUGAUGUAUAAGCAAAUAGACUUUGAGAACGACAUACAGUCUAUCCCAGUUGUCUUUAGCUACCCGAACACAUUUUCGGAGGAGCUUCCAAGUCUGCCACCUAGGUGGGAGAUUGAAUUCUCCAUCAACCUAUAUCCAGGGACAUAGCCCAUUUUCAAGGCCACCUGUAGUAUGGGUUAUGCUGAACUCCAAGAAUUGAAUCGUCAGUUAAUAACACUACGACAGAAGAGAUUUAUUAGAGUUAAUAAUUCUCCAUGGGGUGCUAUGGUUUUAUUUUCCAAGAAGAAGGAUGGAUCAUCCGAUUGUGCAUUGCCUAUAGGGAGCUCAAUCAGGUGAUAAUCAAGAACAAAUAUCCCUUACCCCACAUUAACGACUUAUUUGACCAAUUACAGGGUGCAUCAAGCUUUUCUAAGAUUGAUCUCAAGUCGGGUUAUCACCAUUUGAGGGUUAGAGACGAAGAUAUACCUAAGACGAUGUUCCAUUAAAGAUAUGGUCAUUUUGAAUUCAAGGUCAUGCCCUUCGAACUAACCAACGCUCUUGUAGUGUUUAUGGACCUCAUGAAUAGAAUUUUCAAGCCUGCACUGAAUCAUUUUAUCAUUAUUUUCAUUAAUGACAUUCUUAUAUACUCCAAGGAACACUAAGAACAUGCUGGCUAUCUAGCUUAUGUUUUGAAGAGUCUCAGAUGACACAAGUUGUAUGCUAAGUUUAGUAAGUACUCUUUCUAGUUGGAAUGGAUCUCCUUUCUUAGUCAUGUUGUCUCGGGUAAUGCUAUUUUUGUGUACCCCUAAAAAAUUGAGGUAGUGAUUAGUUGGAGUUAACUAACCAAUAUUACUGAGGUCUGUAGCUUUUUGGGUUUGGUUGGAUAUUAUCAUCAUUUAAUUGAAGGUUUUUUCUCGCAUUGUCGCCAAUUUGACCUGCCUCACCAAGAAGGGUGUCGUUUUCUAUUGGGAUCUUAGCUAUGAAAAAAACUUUGUCAAACUCAAGCGUCGACUGACUUCUGUCCCAAUACUGAUUUUUUCUGAUGGUACUGCUCGUCUUUACGUUUGUUGUGAUACCUCUCGCAUUGGUUUGGGAUGUAUACUUAUACAACAUAGUCGGGUAGUAGCCUAUGAUUUCAAAUAAUUAAAAUCGCAUGAACAGAAUUACCCCACUUAUGAUCUUGAGUUGACAGUCAUAGUCUUUACUCUCAAGAUAUGAGACAUUAUCUGAAUGGUCAAACCUUUAAGAGCAUCAAUCACAAAAGUAUGAAGUACUUAUUCUCCUAAAGGGAACUCAAUAUGGGGCAGAGAUAUUAGAUGGAGCUCUUAAAGGACUACGAUUACAAGAUCCUAUAUCACUCAAGUAAAAAAAUAUAAUUACCGAUACUCUUAGUAGGAAAAACUUGGCUUGUUAGCCUAGAUGAUGGUUUCGAAAUGGAGGAUGCUCCAGACAAUCCAAGGUCUCCAAUUGAACCACUAUGGUGAGGGCUCUUAUCUUGCUCAAAUUUAGAUCCAGCCCACUCUCAUCCAGAGAAAUAGGGAAGCACAUUUUACAGAUCUUAAGGUAGAGAAACAUAAGGAUAGGUUGGAAUCAAGGGAUCAAUCUAACUUUGGAAUGUUUGAUGACGGAAACCUUAGGUUUUAAGAUUGAUUAUGGGUGCCUAAUGACCCUAAAACUCAGCUUAGAUAUUUUGAAGGAAGCUCAUGCCUCUGAGUUGGCUAUCCACCUUGGUAGCAUAAAGAUGUAUUAGAAUUUGAGGCUCCAUUUAUGAUGACCAAGUAUGAAGCAUGAUAUAGUUGACUUUUUCUCCAAGUGCCUUACUUGCCAAUAGGUCAAGGUGGAACCUCAGAGACCUAGUGGUCUUCUACAUUGCCUUCCCAUCCGAGAAUGAAAAUGGGAACCUGUGACCAUAGAUUUUGUCACCAAGUUAUCAGGGUUUAGAUUUGCACCCAUGCAAUUUGGGUCAUACUUGACAGAUUGAUUAAAUCAACCUAUUUCUUGAUAAUGAAGACCACAUAUUUAGUUAGUAAGUUGGCUGGGUUAUAUGUUCAAGAGAUAGUCAGAUUCCAUAAUGUUCCAAUUUCAGUGGUGUCUGACAAGGAGCCUCGUUUCAUGUCCUGAUUUUAGACCAGCUUUUAGGAAGUCUAGGCACUAAUCUAUCCUUGAGCAUUGCUUACCACGCACAAAUUGAUGGUUAAUCUGAAAGGACUAUUUAAAAGCUGGAAGAUAUAUUAAGAGCCUAUGUACUAAAUUUUGGUGGAAGAUGGAAUAGACACCUACCACUAGUGGAAUUUUCUUACAACAAUAUCUAUCACUCCAGAAUCGGUAUGACUCCUUAUGAAGUACUUUAUGGUAGGCUUUGCCAAUCCCCCAAUUAUUGGAGUAAAGUUGGGAAUAGAUGUCUCCUAGGGAUAGAUCUCAUUCAGGAGACGAUUGAAAAGAUUGCCAUCAUCUGUAAAAACCUUAACACUGCUUAGAGCCGACAAAGAGCAAUGUCGAUAAUCGUAGAAAGGACUUAGAAUUUUCUAUGGAUGAUUGUGUUUUCCUCAAGAUCUUUCUCUACAAGGGAAACAUGUGUUAUGGGAAAAGAGAAAAAUUAAGUCCUUAUUUUGUGGGACCUUUCGAGAUACGAGAACAUGUUGGCAUAGUGGCUUAUCGUAUUGCUUUACCACCAGAAUUAAUGGGUCUACACAAUGUCGUUCAAGUCUCAAUGCUCAAGAAAUAUGACCAUAACCCUUCUCACAUCAUUCCUCAUGGACGACUCCCAAUCCACUUGGACAUGUCCUAUGCAGAGUAUCUCAUCAAGAGCAUUGAUCGACAAAAGAAGGUCCUUAGAAAUCAGACAAUUCACAAGGUCAAGGGUUGUUUUGGAAUAUCACUCCCCCUGAAGAAGCUACUUGAGAACUCGAAGACAUGAUGUGAGAAAACAUCCUAAAAUAUUUUAAAAUUUAAAAUUGAGAGGACUAAAUUUUUGUAAGGAGGAGAGGAUGUGACACUCCUAAUCCUAAUUGAUAUUGCACGCAUGUGUUUUAAAAUUUUGGAAUUUAUUUUGACAGUUAAAAUUUUAUAUGCAUAUUUCUAAUUUAAUAUUAUUCUAAAAAGGAAAUUAAAAACUUAAAAUCAAAGGAAAAUAAAUGAAAAACAAAAGUAGGGGAAAAUACUCUAGGGGCAAGCCUCAUAGGAAAUGGCCCGUGGGUACGUAUGCAGAUCCCCCAUCCAAACGCUCGCACAUUUGCGCAUCUGUGUGCCCCGCAUGCCUGCACGCCUGCGUGCCCUGCUUGCAUGGGGAAUAGUGCCCACACACCUGCACGCUCGCAAAAUUGUGCUUGCAUACCCUGAAGGAGCAAAAGCUGGCUUGCCACUACUUCCUCUAGCGCUUGGCUUGCAUGCAUGCCUCCCCCACCUGGCGGUUGGCCAUUUAGGCUGAUCAAUAGCCUUCUUUUCUAAUAUGUGAUAUGAAAUAUCACGAUGCCUUCUCCUUCGGUAUUUAAGUUUUCUUUCUCUCCUCUUUCUUUCAUUCUUCCCCUCUUCACUCUCCUCUCCUUGUCACCCGAAUAGAAGAAGGAAAACGUGAGAGUUUGAGAGAAAAACAAGCAAGCCCAAGAACCCCCAGAAACCACCGCUUCCUUAUCUAUUAUUGGAGGCUUGCCAUCGAGCCUUUUCCUCUCUCUAUGUGCUCCUUGAAUGAACAUUAGAGCUGCUAUCCUCCCUCGACCUGUGAAUUCUUCUAUUUCUUUUUAGAAAUUGAGACCCGAUAGUGUUUGGUAAAGGAUUUAGUAUUUUUCUUGUGCUUCUAUCAAUUUUUUAUGAUUUUUAACCGUUAAAAUUUCAAAUAUACACGAUGCAUGUUGAGUUGCCUCAUAUGUGUGUGUUCGGUGUUUGAGAACAUGAUUUCAUCAAAUGUAUGAGGGUUGUUUUUGAAGUAUUUUUGAUGUUAUAUUAACUGGUGAUUAUGAUAAUGCAUGUUUGAAAAUGGGGGGGACUACAUGAAAAUACAAGAGGGAAGGAAGAAAAAUUAAUUUGGGACCGACUGAGGCACCAAAGUAUCAAAGAAAUUGCAAUGCACAAUAAUGUCAUGUCUGCGUGUGCAAGGGACACUGUCCUGAGUCACUCAAGUGCCACGGUAGGGCCCUCGGCUUGCUGUGUGCGCACAUCAGCCGCAUGUGGGAACAUUGAUCUCACCCGGUGUGCCAGCACAACGAGGAGACGUACUGCGUAUGCAUGUGUGUGCAUGUUAUGUGCACGCGUGUGGCCUACCAAGCAUGUCCGCAUGUCGAGAGUCCUGCACAUGAGGGCAUUAUAGAGUUAACACAUGCAGAAGGGCCCCCCUUGACACGCCCCAGUGCAAGGCAGCUUGCUCACAAGCAGUGCGCCAUAUUGCACGAUUAUACUUGGCACACUUGUGUGUUAAGCAAGUCGUGGAGGCUAUGAUCUUCCCCUCACCCAUUUGACGAAGGCCGAGAGGGUUCUCAAAAAGGUCUCAACCUACGAAGGGACCUAGCCGCCCAACUUGAUUAUAGACCCACACAAGGUAAGGGUCAGUUUAGUGGACCCUUACUGGGGUUUGGGUUAGUUUGGUGGACCCCCACCGAGUCUGAGUUAGUUUGGUGGGCCCCCAUAGGGUUCAGGUCAAUUUAGUGGACCUUUACUGGGUUUGGGUCAGGUUGUGAGACCCUUAUCGGGUCGGGUCAUUUUAGUAGACCCUUAUUGGGUUCAGGUAGGUUAGUGGCCCCAUUUAGGCCUAAUUUCCGUCAGUGGCCCCCAAUUGGGCCCAAGUUUAGUUUUUGGGCCCAAGUUUGGUUAUUGGGCCUUAGUGGGUGCAAUUUGGCUUGACACAGGGAUAGUUUAGGAAAUGGGAAACACAAAAGGGUUUAAGAGUAGAUCUGAUGGAUCUAAUAGGUCGAAGUGAAUUCUACGAAAUGUAUAUUUAGAUUUGUGAUUCUGUAUUAUGGUAAAAACAAAGAAAGAAUUCAAAAUCUGUUUGACUGUUAUCACUGAGAUGUCUCUGAAUAUGAUUUUUCUCUACUAUUGGUGAUUCACUCUUUAUGAAUAGUAUUGGCUUUCCCUCUAACAAGAGUGGAUUGCGACUAAUUGGAGGGAUCACAGUGGUGAAGUAAUAUCGUGGUCAUAGUAUCUGAUCAGACUACUUUUUAUUAAAUUGAAAUGUUUUUACCAUUCACAGUGGUAGUCGGGGAUCCUUUCUGACCUCUGUUGAUAUAGGUUCAAACAACUUUGUGCGAAGAUCUGUAAACAGUGAAACUAAUUCAAAUAGCGUGAUUGAUAUGAUUAAGACUAUUAUUUUUGUGUCUGGUUUCCUAGAUAGCUUUCCUUAAAUUUGAUAUAUUUCUCAUUAUUUCGUUGUAUUGCUUAUGAUAUGUUUAUCACUGUUCCAUCAUAGCACUUAUGACUUGAGACGUAUUUUAAAAUGAACUUCUUAUAAUGGAAGACAUAAAGUUUUCAGCAGUCUUUUAAAUAAACAUAACUGUACUACGAAAUUUGAUGUGGUCUCUUAUGGUAAGUUUUAUUGACCAUAAAGAUAAUGGUAUUUUCUUAAAAUUUAAUGCAACGUUUGAAAUCUUAGUAGCGUAGUUUAAAUACUAAUUUUCUUACUAAGUUUUAUGGAACUCACCUUAAACUCAUCCCCCAAGAUGAUGUGGAAAGCAAAGACUCGCCUCUCGAACUGUCUCUUGAUGCCUACUUGGAUCUCUUCUUGGACGCAUAGUUGAUGAGUGCAUUUGGACAUUUUGUACUCUGAUGAACAAUAUUUUGUAAUGAUAGAAAUGGCUAGAACAAUGUUUGUGAAUAUGUCUAUUAGCCAACUUCUUUGCCUCAGAUGUUUAUGAACACUCAAAAUUUUUGUAAGAGAUGAAUUUACUUUCGUUGUAUAUUCCAUUUUAUGCACUCAUAUCUAUUCUAUCAUUGAACAUCAGACCUAGUUAAAGAGAAGAAUGUGUCGUAGGACACGAUUCUUGCAAACAGCAGCGCUACCAUUCAAACUGAAGUAGUAACUGAACGAAUGGCAAAGGAACGCCCCUUGAGGGAGCUAGCAGCACUGCCUACCAACCCGUAGCCCCUCUACAUCACUUAUCCUGAUCUAGACGUACCUUUCAAUCUGAAAUCUGGCCUAAUUCACUUGUUGUCCAAGUUUAGAAGUUUAGAGAAUGAAAACCCGUACAAGCACCUCAAAGAAUUUCAUGUCAUGUGCUUAAGCAUGAAGCUGCAUGGAGUGUCCAAAGAGCACAUAAAAUAAAUUGAGGGCAUUCUCCUUUUCCUUAGAUGAUGCUUCCAAAGAGUGGCUAUUUUACCUAUCUCCUAGAUUAAUCAUUACUUGGGCAGAGAUGGUAAAAGUCUUCCUAGAUCGCUUCUUCCCAAUGUCUUGAGCAGCCAGUAUUAGAAGAGAAAUAUGUGGAAUCCAUUAGAGGGAUUCCAAAAGCUUACACGAUUAUUGGGAGAGGUUCAAAUGGUUGUGUGCAUGCCCACAACAUGAUAUCUCAGAACAAUCUAUCAUUCACUAUCUUUAUAAAGGAUUAUUGCCCACAUAAAGAAGAAUGUUAGAAGUAGCAAGUGGUGGUGCCAUAGUGAAUAAAAUACCUCGAGAAGCUAGAGAAUUAAUGGCGAAGUGGUAAGGAACUGCUGGAAAAUUCCAGCCUUGGGUAAGACUUACAGAAAAGUACAUAACCAAAAGUUGUAGUUGACAACAAGACACAUAAAACAAACCUAGAUCCUACCAGCUAGCACCAUUUAAAAUCCUUCCAGCUUUUCACAAAGAUUUGCACAAUUAAGGAAGGAAAAAGAAGAGAAAUAGAUCCUAGAAACUUUUAGCAAGGUUAAGGUAAACAUUCCUUUACUCAAUGCAAGUAAAAAGGUACCUCCUCGAUAUGUCAUUUUUAAAAGAGCUGUGCACCAACAAGAAAAGGCUGAGCUAUAAUGAAAGGGUAAGUGUGGAAAAAAAUAUUCCAGGUAUAAUUCAAAUAAAACUACCCCCCAAAUGCAAAGACCAAGGUAUGUUUGCUAUUUCUUGUAAGAUAGGCACUUUAAAAAUAAAGAAAGCCAUGUGUGAUUUAGGAGCAUCAAUAAAUGUCAUGACUUUGUCUAUUUAUUCAAGGUUAAAUGCUAGUCCAUUAAAAGAAAUAGGUGUUAUAAUUCAGCUAGCUGAUGAUAAGUUGUUUAUCCUAAAGGAGUUCUGGAGGAUAUACUUGUCAAAGUUGAUAAUCUCAUUUUUCUUACUGAUUUUUAUGUGUUAAACAUAGAAGAUGAUAAAUCAUCUAAUCCCUCUGAUAUUUGCUAGGAAGAUAUUUCCUUAGUACAUCUAAAACGAAGGUAGAUGUACAGGAUGGUACACUCAUUAUGGAAUUUGAUGGCGAAAUUAUAAAAUUUAAUGUUUAUGAUGAUAUGAAUUAUUCUAGUGAUGUGUUUUGUGUGUAUGGUGUUAAUACUGUAGAUCUUUUUAAGUCAAAAAUAUUUUGAUCUAAGCCACGAUGAUAAGCUGAACACUGUACUUUCUAAUGAUUUUAAUAUGGACAACUUAAAAAUUUUAGAAGAAGAUCUUGUUGAUGAGAAGAAUCCACAAGAUAUGAUGUUUGAAUUUGAGGCACUUAAACCUCAAAGGAGAUGCAUUGUGUGUUGACUUUCCUAUUUCUAACACAAAAUGUCUACCUUCUAUUUUGUAGGCACCAAAACUGGAGCUCAAACUAUUGCCUGAACAUUUGAAAUAUAUGUUCUUGGGAGGAUAAGAGACCCUUCCAGUGAUAAGUUCUAACAAGCUAAACGCGUUAUAAGAAGAUAAAUUGAUUUGAGUGCCUAAAAAUUGACAAGUCUAGCCUAAGACAUUAAACAAGAGCACUUGAUGGGAAACAACCCAUCAUUUUUCUUCAUUCUUUUUCAAUUUUCAUUAUUUGUAUUAGUGAUUUCAAUUUAUUUGCAAUAUUUUCUCUGAGUUAACAUGAGUUUUAUGGUGAUUAGAGUGCAGGGAUAGAGAAUUUAGGUGCUGGAGUCGAAAAAAGCUAAGCUCUGGAACAGCCGAACAAGCCUUGACUAAAACAUUGUGUCAGACACUUAAGGCACGAUCAUGUGUUAGCUCUAAAACAUCUUUUGUGAGGGAAACACGAUCAUGUGUCUGCCCAACAUAGUCAUAUUGUGUCUACAACAGAAAAACAAUGAAAUUCCAAGAAAAACACAAUCGUGUGUCAUCCCCCACAUAAGCCUUGCCCAAGGCUUAUAUUAGUUGGCAACACAUUUGGUGGUUCCCAAAAUGUGAUAUUUUCCAAUGCACCCCAACUCCAACUCAAGUAACCAGGGGAGUUAAUCUAUCACUUCAUUUUUAUUUUUCAUUAUUUGCAUCACACUGAGGGAAAUAUGUACUUUAAGUGUGGGGGGAAGGCAUUUUGCAUUAUGUAUUGUGUAUUCUGCAUUCUGUAUUCUAUAUCUUAAGUAGCCAGUUUUCCUUUUUGGCAUAUCAUCUUAAGUAUUUUGACCUUACCUAAUUUUUGCUACAUUACACAUGCAACUCUAACAAUUUUUUACUCCAACCUUCACAACUGCCUCUCUAUUAUUUUUAAGCAGCUCAAAUGGGAUACUUCAAAAGUUUAAUUGCACUUAUAACACUCUUUUAGGAACUGUAGCUUAUUUUUUAUCUUUUCACGCUAUGAAUUGUUAUCUUUGAUUACAUGUUCAACAUGACUUGUUUGAGGGUUGCUUAUUCAAAAAAAAAUUAUUUUUUUCUUACUUUUAUGUGAAUAUCAAUACUAAGAAAGAUCUCUUCUACAACUUGUCCAGAAUUAUGUGCUUUGAAUGAAUAAAUCAAAUUAAUUAUCAUGUGAUUAGUGAGAUUGAGCAUAAAACACACUCACUUUGAAAAACAGUUGGAGUAAAAGUAUAAGAUGGAGAAUAAAAUGUACUCACAAUGAAAGAAAAUGAAAGAGACCACGAAUAAUAAUCUAUUCCUCUAGUUAAAUGACUACGAGUAAUAUUAGUAGCCACUUGAAACUGUGACUAACUAAAUAACUAGGUGCAUUCAUCACAAAUGUUUGCCCUCGCAUCAAAAGGUUGGUGACAUUUCAAGUAAGUAAAAGGUGCUCAAGUGUUUUUGUUUUUGGCAUGAACCAAUUGCAUGAAUCCUUAUAUUUAGAAGGGUUUGAUGGUUGUUCUACUAGAUAUUGGCUAUUCCCUUCAAUGAAAUUUUUGUAUGCUAAAUUUGUAAAACUCUCUCAUACCGUGUUUAGAUGUUGUCAAAGUGGUUAUUCAUUGAUGUGAUUCUAUGAAACUUAAGCCUACAAAUUACUAGUUGAUGGUUAUUUUUACAACUUGAGGGUUAAGGUAUAGUAUGCACAUUGUGAUGAAAUGAAUGGGAGUAAGUGAGUUGAAGGUGAAGAGAUGGAGAUUGAUGGAGUGUAUUGUGUAGUGCUUGAGGACAAACACAAGAUAAAUGUAGGAGAUUUUGUCAGUUCCUUAAGAGGACAUCAUUAUCAUUCCCUUUUGGGCUAUUAAACUUGAUGGUAUGCUAUCUAAUUUGAACUAUUUUUUCACUUGUUGUAGGACAAGAUAUAAGGACGAAAUGAGAAAAAAUAGCAUGAAAAGCAUAAGAGUUCGUGAAAAGAGUCAUCAGCACAAAAACAAGCCUUGGGCAAGGCUUGGUCUAGUAGACAGACAACUUAGACUUGGACUAGGCUAAGAGUCGUGCACAACAUCAUAUUUAAAUUAAAACGUGUAAUUUUCAAACAUAAAAAAAGAUAUUAUUCCAGCUAAGAUUUGGAGCCGAAAAUUAAGCGAAACAUAUUAUGGAAAGCUUAGGAUAAGCCAAAAAUCAAGGAAAAUGAUCCUAAUCAACAAAGAAAAAAACUCUAGCCCCUUUUUGGUAUAUAAAUUACGGUAGCGAAGCAGAAUCAUCAUCUCUCUUCUUCCCGAUGCUGUACACAGCAACGUCUGCUGCUCCUGUAAUUUUUCUUAUUCAUCUUUCUUUUUCUCUUUACUCUCUAAAAACUCAUUUGUGUUAAAAAGUCUAUCAUGAGAGGCUAGUUUAUUUCUUUUUCUUAGUUGAUAGAUCUAAAAACUCUAACAGUGUAUUUGUGAGAUCUAAUUGAAUUAAUUUGAGUUUUAUUUCAGAGCUGGUAUUUAUUUACUUCCUGCACCUAUAUAUAUUUGUUGUUUUGAAUCUGUUUGAACAUGGUUCGUCAUACGUAAAGAGAAACCGCAAGCAACUAGUUGAACUCCUCAAAUUCGUAAUUGUUUGAGUAGUUCUGGCACCAAGUAGUGAUCAGUGCCGCAUUGAGAAGGUAAGUAAUCUAGUUGACCGGUUCACGUAGAUGAAUCUAGCAAUAUGAAUAAGGUCUUUCUAGCUCUCAAGACCAUUGACAAGUUAAAUCUUAUGUACGUUACCAAGACUGCUUAGCAGCGAAGAACCAACUGACGAACAUUUGUUGGUUGGUUUAGGAAUAAGGAUUGGUCGUCAGAACAUUUUUGAUAACUUUAACUGAUUUACCAUAUUUUGGGUAAAACAAGUCAUUGCAUCUAUGAUCAACUACGUUAUUAGAGUUAGCUAUUUCGUUUACUAGGAAUCCUUCUUAUAAUUAAUUUAGUUUCUAACUUACAACCAAGGGUUUAGUUUAUAUUACUUUGUUUAUUUCUUAUUUCAUAUUUUGCAUUGAUAUUUAAUCUAUAAAAACUUCCUUUUAUUUGUUUUUUAUUUGUUGGUCAAAAAAGAAAAUUGGUUUUCAAUUUCCUGCGGAUUCGACCCUUCUUACUACUACUACAAUAUUAUUUUAUUGGUUAGUUAGAAAUUUAUUUUUGGUGGGUUCGACAUCCAUCACAACCCCAAUUUGGUGGUUAUAAAUGCUUGAACACCAUUUCUAACUAGUUGAACUAACAAAAAUGCUAAACAUACAGUAGCCUUACAUAUUUACGUACGUAAUUUGUAAGAGAAUAAUUAAUUUAAAGUAAGGUACAUGCAACAUUUUUUUUAAUGGAAGUUAUUUAUAAAUAACCUAUCAUUUUAUUUCUACCUUACCAUACAAAACAAAUCAAAAGCUCAGAGGUUUCCUUCAAGUCUUCCAUGGUCCUGAAGCUAAUCCUAAUCUCUCCCGCUUUGAAAUAUACUAUGGUGGAAUUUAAUGAAUUCCACAUGCUCAGGAAGGACAAUUAACCUCCUAUGCCUUAGGCAUACAACAUUGAACACAUUCAAUAACGUGACAAUGUAAUUAUUAAAAGAAAUUACAACUAUAUAUGAAGGAAAUUUUUUUAAUUAUCAUUUUAAUUUCAAAAUUAUUUUAUUGAUGUCCUUAUUAUUCCUUAUCUUACCCUUUAAAUAUUUUCCUAAAGUGUCAUACCAAUUAAUUAAUGAACCUCUUUGGAUUGUUUUCUUUUACUUAGUAUCUCUACUAAAUUACUCCUUUAUCCACACUUAUGUAUAAUGUUUACUCUUUAUUAUCUAUAUUUUAUCUUAACCAAAUUACAUCUAAGGUACCAAAGUCACCCUAUACAUAAUUCUAAAUUUUUAAAUAAUUCACAGAGUAAAUUUUUACAUGCACAAAAUUCAAUCAAAUUCGUAUCAGAUCAAAUUCAUGUCUAAUCAAAAUCAUACCAAAUCAAAGUUGUAUCAAAUAAAAAUCACAUCAAAUUUGCAUCUUCUUUCAUUUUCGUAAUUUAUUAAGGUUUUAAUCACGUGGUGUAAUUUUUAACUGGUGGUAACGUCCCGACUUCUCAGAGAAGGAAACGCUACUACACGUAUAACAUUCACCUAUAAUGUAGCAACCUGAUAAAAAUUCAAAACCAUUUCAUCCCUCGUAAAAAAUUACAAUACAUAAAGUUCUAUACAAUCUCUUAACAAUCAUUAUUUUGUUUCUAUUCUAUUUUUACAAUCCAAAAUGACUAAACUAUGAGAUUUCUUCAAAGUCUCCUAUUCGGUCUUGAACUUGAUUUAAACCUUUCUUAACCUGUAAUGAUUAUGGAAAUUUGGGGUGAGGAUUCCACUACCUCAGCAAGAAAACGGGCAGUGCCCAUAACGAAGAUAUGAAACAAACAUUCAUACAUAUAAAAUAAUGUAAAUUUUAUUAAAGUAAAUUUUGAUUUGAAAGAUAAUCAUACUCAUCAUUAUUACUGCCAAAUAUAAACUGAAAAAUAAUUAAAAGCAUCAUUUUUUCCAUUUCCCAUUCUAAACAUAUCUUUUAAUUCCUACAUAUCUGAAGUACCACUUAUAAUGCAUAUGUUGAUUUUGCACAAACUUACACUUUUACUAUUACUUAUCAGUACACAUUGAUUUCACAAACACUUGCACCUACCACAGUUUUUCUAUUGCACGUGUUAGAACAUAGAUACAUUUACACUUCUCAUGGCAUCCUCAUACCACAUUUGGUAUGAGUAACCCAUUCGCAUCUCCAUACCUUUUUUGAUAUGAGUACCACUAAAUAUGUUCACGUGGUCAUCCCCAUACCUCAUCUGGUAUGAGUACAACUCAAUAAAUCACAUAGGCAACCACAUACCCCGUCUGGUAUGUGUACCAUUAAACAUAUCACAUGGGCAUCCCAAUACCUCUUAUAGAAAGAGUACUUCACUCAACGUAUCACAUGGGUGUCUUUGUACCCAUUCGAUAUGAGAACCAAUAAUUAGAUCACACGGGCAUCCUCAUACCCCACCUGAUAUGAGUACUUUACCAGCAUCCCUAUAUCCCGUUCAGUAUGAAUACUAAUAAAUAGAUCAUGGUUCACAUUAUUUAUAAAUAUAUAUACAGUUGCUAAUAUUUAAAUGUUCAUAUUUCACAUUAAAUACAUAUAUAUGUAUAUGCAGAUGUUCAAUAUGAGUAUAUGCAGAUGUUCAAUAUGAAUAUAUGCAGAACGAGCAUGUGCUUGAAUAUUCUUUACACGUACACCCACAUCCUGCACACAUAUAUAUCCAUUUGCUUCCAAACUAACCCUUAUUUGUGAUACGCACACUCAGUCUUGUGUAUAUAUAUUUGCAACACACAUAACAAUAUAUCAACAUAGAUUACACACAUACAGAACACUCAUAUCUAGAUAUACAUCCUCACUAUACAUAUACACACAUUCACAUUAUAUUGGCACCUAAAUCCAUACAUAUAUAUAUGUAAAAAUACAACAGUCAUACAGUCGACAUACAAGUGAUAAUUUUCCUUUUUGGGAAAAGAAACACCAAAGCAAAACUUGAAGUAAUGUGUUAAAUUGUAAUUAUUCAUUUUAAAAUUAAUAAACCAUCUUAUAAAAAUAUAAAAUCUCCAAAUGAAAACUGACUCAACUCUUACUUGAAUCUCAAACAAAAAGGAAUCGAAAUUAUGACAGAUUCGACUUUCACCAUGUUUAACUUCUUUCUAGUUUUUUACUCUCUAUUUCUUAAAAUUUUGCAUACAUACUACUAAGGUUUUGAUUUAAAAGAAAAAUAAUCAAAUAUAAGGUGGAAGAAGAUUUAUUCAAACCAGCAUCAGAUUCAGACUCUAGACCUGAAGAAGUGCGGUUUUGGUUUGCCUCAUUUGCAGCUCCUUCACCACUGGACUAACUGCCCUCACACAGUAGUCAUCCGUUCGGGUCACCUUCCCUCACUUUUCCCAUUCGUCACGCCGUUAAGCUCUUCUUCUUUUUUUUCUCUUUUUUUCUUCUUAUUUUCUUAGAUUGCGACCAUUCUUCUCUCUCACUACCCAAUGACCUCUCUCUCUCUCUCUUUAUCUCUCUCCUCACACGACCAUUCUCUUCUUCCCCAUAAAUCUACAACACUCCUAUGAUACCGUGCGCCUCCUCCGCUCACAACUAUCGAUUUCCCUCCUUCUCUUUAUCGUUAAGAAUCAAAAUACUCCCUGCACUUCACUAUUUUCACAGCGGCAGCAGUCUUCCCCUUUUUUGUGCUAACCUAACCCUAUCCUCUCUGUGUUGCAGGUGAAGAAGAGGAAAUAGUAGACUAUCAUCCUUGAAGCUAGGAAUUGGGCCAAUGGGCUUGGGUCUUAGCAAGGUGAAAAUUGGGUUGGGCGAAUAAAAGGUAAUUGGGUUAGCUGGGUGUUACACUGUUACCAUUGAGGUCACAAAGCAUCCUCACUACAUUGAUAGGCCGAAUACACUUUAACUCAGACAAAAUGAUUAUACCAGUACUUCCCUAGGCAACCCUGAUCCAAACGAAAACAUGCAUACCUAUCCAUGUUUGGAGUAGGUCCAAAUCAUCCAUCUAUGUGUGGGGUUCACCAACAUGCCGAAUUUUAGUCAUACAUGUUAAAUAAAUUUUCUUAACGUCUUAUUCACACACUGACACAUUUUUUUUAUAAUUUACUCUACAUAUUAUUUUCAUUUUCACUUUUAUUAGAAUUUCCAUCACACAAUAUUUUUUUACAUCACUAUCAAUGAGAGGCAAAAGAGAUCCUCCUCACUGGAUAUGUUGAAAUACACAUAAAUCAUAUAAAAUGGUCACAAUAGUACUUUGCUAGCCAACCCUAAUCAAAAGCAUACAUACCUAUCCAUGUUUGUAGUAGAUUCAAAAAAUCCACCCAUGAGUGGGGUUCACCAACCCGCCGAAUUUCAGCAACACACGCACCCUUCCCUCCUUGAUUCACAACUAAAAGAGUUAUUUUGAUGUCUUAUUAAUAUUUUUAAAUUCUCCAUUCACACUCAUGUUUUUUAAUCAUUUGGAUAUCGUAUAUCGUAUAUUUGAUUUAUUUAAUUCUCUUCCUAUUUGUCUUACUAAUCCUUCUUAUUAAUUUAAUUUCUUACUCGUAUUUACUUAACUUUUCAUUUAUCAUUUUUCUUACAAAAUUUCUUAAUUCUACUUUACUUGUGUACUCAUUUCAUUACUUACUCUUCCUAGUCCUUAAAUGCUCCCAAACAAAAAAUGAUGUGAUCCUAGAAAGCCUAAAAUUAAUUCCGAAGAUGCAAUCUCGCUUCAAGGAUGAGCUCUGUGGAAAUCUGAACUCCUAUGGAACCUACGAGUCCGCAAUAGCAUGAGGUCUUACGUAUUUAGCACAAAAAACAUGCACACACUAGUGCAAUUGAUUAUUCUAGAGCAGGCCUUGUCUCGAACAUGAAAGUAAAUUCUAGUUUCCUAAAUAGAAACACCUAGAACUAAAAAGUAAUUUAAUCCCUGACUACUAUUCUGAUUGGGAUUAUUCUAGGAAAUAGGGCAAGUUUGUCCAAAGGAAGCUCAAGGCCCAAGUGGUGACCCAUAGCCUUAGAGAAAUUACAAGGCAAGAAAAAAGGACUAGUUUUGGCCAAACCCGAAAAGACUUCAAGGUCUUGUGGCCAAGAUGGGUCAUGGCCCAAGGUUACUGCACCAAAGGGAAGCAGAUUGGAUCGUCUUGCACCUAUGGGUAGCCACAACCAAGGAAGAGGCCCAACGCGCACCAAGCAUACGUAGCCCACAAGCAUGCAUGUGUGCAGGCAGCAAGGCCCACGCCCAAUAAGGAUGUAAGCAUGUAGCCCAAGCCUAUGCAACAGUAUCUACGUGAUCCAAGCCUAACCAGAGUGGCCCGCGCGACCCAGGCCCAAUCCGAGCAGCGCAAAAGCAGCUCGUGCAGCUUGCCUCUCCUGAAUCCUUUCAUAUUUAGAUUUUUCUCACUUUUCUUAUUUCUACAAGGUUUCCAAGCUGCAACAACUUCUAUAAAUUAAACCCAUGUGAUUAAUAUGCUUAAAUUUAAGAAAGAACUCUAUUCGAGGUAGAAGUCCAAAGAAGAUAAAGAUCCUUAAAGAUUUGGGAGAAUGAGUCUAUUAAUUUAUUAAUAUUUUAAUGUUAAGCCUCAUCAAUCGAAUUAAUUAAUUAUUAUUUUAGGAUAAGGAUAAGAAUUAGAAUAUUUUAUUAUUUAAAUAUUUAUUUUCUAGUUAAUUUAAUUCUUAGAGUUUGGAUAGGAAUCGUAAGUCCUAUUCCAAGUAAAAGUAGUAAAUAAAAGCAUAUAUAAAAGCAUUAGCCAAGCAUUAUAAACACUCAACUUUGAGAAUGAUUAAAUUAAAGCUUUGAGCUUUUCUUUGAAUUAGCUUUGUGCUAAUUUUUCUCUUCAUGUUCUUCGAAGCUAGGUGUGCUUCCUAAAGCAUUGAUUGAGUCGAGGAGUUGGGAUUGCCUUAUUGGGUAAGUCUGUAGCAUCUUUCUUUUCAUUGUUUUUGUUUUUUAGUUUUUAUUUUUGCAUUCUUUUUAAAAUUGUAGAUUUAAUUAGAGGGAGGGGUUUAACGAGGCAUUUAAGUUUCGAUAUUGCAUGCGUUUGAGUUGAGGUUUCGGGAGUCAAAACAAUCUUUCUCAUACCCUUCGUAUCAAAUGGUAUCAGAGCUUAGGCUCCUAGUGAACAUAUUUAUCUUAAUUACUUAAGCAUUAUUGUAACUUAAUUAACAUUCAAUUUUAUUUUGAAUUGUUAAUUCAUAUUACAUCUUGCUUAAUUUCAUAAUCAUCCAUCUAAUUCAAGUGGUUUUGUUUUAGUAUGGUUAAAAAAUUACAAAACUAAAAAAAAAUCCAAAACAAUAUUCCAAUUGCACACCAUAAGGCAAUUGGAACGUUGUUGCAUUCUUGUAUUCAAAAGAAGAGUAACCACGUACUACUGUGACUUGAAAAUCUUUAUAGAGUCAAUGGUAAAAUACCUCACCUAGUAGGUGCACGUGAAAACUUUUUGUUUUCAUUAUACUGCCUCAUUCACUUGCAUAAAUGCAAAGAGGAAGAAUAGCUCACCCACUAUGAAUGAAAACUUUUUUUAAUUCACACUUAAUUGAUGUUUUGCAUCUCAAAAUUUUGGCUUGAAGUUACAUAAAGAAACUUGAUUAUUCGUAGAGCACAGUCGGUAUUGGGUAGUAUUAAGAUACACUUUCCAAUUAUAUCUAGCGGGAUUGAUUGGAUCCCUACGCUAUCUGUCUAUCAUGUUUUCUUUAUGAUCUACAUUUUCAUUAUUCAUCGUGCAUUUAUUCCGUUGCAUAUCUAAGUAACUGAUCAUUCCUAGUUACUUAGCAUAAAAAUAAAAGCACAUAAUUCCUUCUUCUGUGUGUUUGUUCAUGAGCUUUUGUAGAAAUCAGAUGCCCUUAGGAUUCUUGUGUUAUAAAGACUAACGUGCAGGUCUUGAUCUAAGUGAAUCUAAAUCUAAAUGCUCAACUGGACAAAAUAAGCUAUAAUUUGAAAGAUUGUGAGGUAAACUCGAACGAAGGUAAGGGAGAGUUAUCUGCUUUCAUUAACCUUUCCUUGUAGGAAUCUUUCAUAAUGAGUUUUUGUGAUGAACUUGUCAAACUCCAAUAUCUAUUUGAUGAAUGGAAGGACCUAAUAUGAGAAGCAUUAAGUGAAGAGAUUGUCCAUACAUAUAAUAAUGUGAUGGAGAACCUUCCUAUUCAACAAAAGAUUCAAGCUCCCGUAGAGAUCGAGGACCCUAUCACAAAAGAUAUAAAAGAAGGAAAAGAAGCCAACCACCAAGAUAAUUCGUGUGUAGUUGCUAAGUCUUUUAUCUUCAAUAAUGAUUUCUUGCAUGAUCUAGGAAGAAGUGUCGAUCUAGUUGAGAAUUAAAUCAAUGAGGAACUCAACGAGCCAAGUAAGUAUAAUGAGCUUUUUAUUGUUAUCACAAAUAUUUUCCUCUGUGAUGAAGGUCAAGAUUCGAGGACAAAUCUCUUUCAAGAAGGCGCAGAUGAUGUGUCCUACAAAGUCUAAAAUUAGUUUCGAAGAUGCAAUCUCACUUCAAGGAUGAGCCCCAUGGAAAUUCGAACUCUUACAAAAUAAUUUCCCAUGAGUUUGCCAUAGCACGGGGUCUCGAGCAUGUUGCACAACAAACAUGCACACGCUAGCGCAUUAGAUUAUUCUAAAACAAACCCUGUCUUGAAUUGGAAAGUAAAUUCCAGUUUUCUAGAUGGAAAUACCCAGAACACAAAAGUAAUUCAAUCGCUGACUGCUACCCUAAUUGGGGUUAUUCUAAGAAAUGGGGCAAGUUUACCCAAAAGAAACUCAAAACCCAAGUGGUGACACAUGAGCUUGGAGAAAUUACAAGGCAAGAAGAAAGGCCUACUUUUGGCCCAAUUUGAGAAGGCUUCAAGGCCUUAUGGCCAAGAUGGGUCAUGGCCUAAGGUUGUUGCACUAAAAGGAAGCAGAUUGGAUCAUGUUGCACCCAUGGGCAGGCCACACCUGAGGAAGAGGCCCAGCGCACACCAAGCAUGGGUAGCCCAUAUGUGUGCAUGUGCAUAGACAGCAAGGCCGAUGUCCAGUAGGGGCGCACGAGUGCGUCCAGGCCCAUGCAACACCAGCCAUGUGAUCCAGGUCUAACUUGAGCAGCUCGCGCGACCUAGGCACAACCCGAGCAGCCCAAAGGCAGCUAGUGCGGCUUGCCUCCCCUAAAAUUUUUUAGAUUUAGAUUUUCUCACUUUUCCUAUUUUUACAAGGUUUUUAAGCUGCAACAACUUCUUUAAAUUAAUCCCAUGUGAUUAAUAUACUUAAAGUGAAAAAGGAACUCUAUUCAAAGUAGAAGUCUAAGGAAGAUAAAGAUCCUUGAAGAUCUGGGAGAAAGAGUCUAUUAAUUUAUUAAUAUUUUAAUAUUAAAUCUUAUCCAUAUGAUUUAUUAAUUAUUAUUUUAGAAUAAUUAUAAGAAUUAGAAUAUUUUAUUGUUUAAGUAUUUGUUUUCUAGUUAAUUUAAUUCCUAGAGUUUGGAUAGGAAUCUUAAGUCCUAUUCUAAGUAGAAGUAGUAAAUAAAAGUCUUUGUAAAGGCUUUAGCUCAAGCAUUAUAAACACACAACUUUGAGCUUUUCUUUGAAUUAGCUUUGUGCUAAUUUUUUUCUUCAAGUUCUUCAAAAUCUGUGUGCUUCCUUAAGUCUUAAUUGAGCGGAGGAGUUGGGAAAGACUUAUCAGGUAAGUUCGUGGCAUUUUCUUUUUCUCAUUUUUAUGCCCUAAUUUUUGUUUUUAUAUUUCUUUUAGGAUUGUAAAUUCAAUUAGAGGGAGAGGUUUAAUUAGACAAUUAAAUUUCGAUAUUGCAUGUGUUUAUGUUGAGAUUCCGGGAGUCAAAACGAUCCUUCUCAUACCCUUCCGCAUCAAAAAACCUUAUUACGUUUCAAUAAUAAUUUGUCAUCCUUAUUCAACUUAUUAUAUCCCUCCUUAGCUUUUUUUUAAUCAUUGUAACCAUAAGUAAUUAUAUAUUUUAAUGUUAUCAAAAUUAAUUAAUUCUAUUCAUAUUCGUUUUACUAAAUUCUUUCAUACUGAGCAUUUUCAUUUUCUUUAGUGUUUGUUUUAGGUUUUCUAAAAAAAUUAUUUCUACCAAAUUAAUAUCAUUCAAUUUAAUGUUUUUUAUUUCCUUUUAUCUAACUCUCCCUAAAUAUCACCAUUGUUUUAACAUUUUAUUUAAUUCUAUUACCCAUUUAAAACAUGUUAUUUUCAUAUAAUCUCUUAUCACUCAUUUUUAGCUUAUUUUCAUUUACAAUAAUUUAAUUAUCAUGCAUAAUAAAACCAAUUCUUAAAUCAAUUAUUUUGAUCAUUCCACCCUUCUUUUUGAUCUAAUUACCAUGUAUGCUAAUUAAUCCAAGUUCUCAAAUUAGUCAAAUCUGUAUCCCUCUUUACCUUGUCUUUUCACGAGUUUAUAAUUUUUAUUAUAACUUAUUUUAAUGUAUUUUCAUUUGUCUCUUUCGCACAUUUGCUCAAUUUUAUUCAAACCUCUAAUUAUUUUCAUGUAAUUUCUCCUAUUCUUGUCAAGCAAAUCCAUUCACACUAUGACAAUACAAGGGCAAGCAUAAUUCAAUUCACAUGCAAAAAAGUAAAACAUGCAAGCCAAAAUCACACUCAUGCAAACAACGUACAAACGGAGAAGGAAAAAUCUUUGGAAAUCAUCAAGCACGAACCCUAUCCCAUUAGACACACUUCCUGGACAAUGUUCAAGCCCCAUUCUCGAUCGGGUCCUUCACUCACCUACAUCAACUUCUAUCUCAAUUUUGGGCUAGUAAAACAUUACUAAAUUCCUAACAUUUACUAAAAGUCCAAGGGGAACCAGAAAUAUUUACAAAAUUUUCCGAGUAAAUCUUCCACCAAAUCGCGCUUAUACGUAAAGAAAUCACUCAAAAAUAACCAAAGACGUUCGAUUUCUCGCGUGCUAAUGAUUUUCCCGUCCGCUCUGAAUCUAGGAUAGACGUUUUUAAGUCCUGAAAUCACAUGUAAUUUAGAAUGCAUAACCCUUAAAAUGAACUAAAGGUGUUGGCUUCAAAAAUAACUUACUGGUGCUGCUCGAGUUCUAGUUCCUUUUCACUUUCAACGAACUUUAGGGAUUUGGAAGUUGGGUUUUUUUAAUCUAAAAUGCUAAGGGAUUAUUAGAACGGUCAACAAAUGAAUAACAUCUAAAAGGAAACACAAAAUCACAUGUUAAAAUUAAUUCCCAUCGCUUCCUUACUGCAAAGUUGAGUGCCCAUCUUCCCCGCGACAACUUUUUCUGCUUCCAUGUGGCCGACCAUUUUCGAUUGUCCAAUCAAGGAGAUUGCCUCCCACAACCGAUUACCACUCUUCUUCUCCUUCUUCUUCUUCUUCUCGGUCACUGUCGCUCUCUUUCUCUUCCUCUCUCUGCGCUCGUAGCUAGCAUUUACCUUCUCUCUCUCUCCUUUUGCUGCAGCAGAUCCCUCCAUCAACUCUUCCCCUUUCAAAAAUUAAAGGAAGACGAUUAUGGUUCCUUAUGUACCUUUAAUACAAAUUCAAGCUUUUUAUCCCAAAAUCUGGGCCGUUGGAUUAAAGAGGGUCAUUUUUGUCAUUUAAUAUUUGAAAAAUCGAUCCUAACCGUCCAAUCUUGCUUUCUUAAAUCAUGGUCGUUCGAUCUAGGGCUUUAUUAAGGUUAUUUUUGUCAUUUUACACUUCUUCAUAUCUCAGCUCUUAGAUCUAGAUUAGGUAAUCUAGGCCAUCAGUCAGAUUUUUUAAUUGGGACCAUUUGUUUGUUUAGGCAAGAAGCAAAUCUGGUCGUUCGUUUGAUUUUUAGAGAGCAUCAAAUCUAAGUCAUCUGAUCGGUUUCGCGAAUGUGUGGGCAUCCGACAUGGUCCACAUUUAAAAAAUUGCAAAAUGAUCCCAAGCGCACAAAAUCCGUUUAUUUAGGGCCCCGACAUGUUUUUAAAAAUUAAAAAAAGGUCCCAAAUAUCCGAAUUUCUUUCGAGUCUUUAAACCCUUAAUUUAAUCAUCUUUGGGUUUAAACUUUAUUGUUAAAUGUCUUUGGGUUUGCAUAAUUCUCAAAAGACCAAUAAUUUCAAAGUCUUGUAUUUAAAAAAUGGAUUGGGAAUUAAUUUCUCACAUAUAAGGGACAAAUUCAUAGAAUUAAGUCCUCCGAAAAAUGGGUAAUUCAGGGUGAUACCCUUCGGGUUCCUAAUUCCUACCAAAAAUAUGUUCAAAACAGGUGUACAAAGUUGGGGACGUUACAACUCUCACCCUCUGUAAAAAUUUGAUCCUCCAAAUUGCACUUGUAUAANNNNNNNNNNNNNNNNNNNNNNNNNNNNNNNNNNNNNNNNNNNNNNNNNNNNNNNNNNNNNNNNNNNNNNNNNNNNNNNNNNNNNNNNNNNNNNNNNNNNNNNNNNNNNNNNNNNNNNNNNNNNNNNNNNNNNNNNNNNNNNNNNNNNNNNNNNNNNNNNNNNNNNNNNNNNNNNNNNNNNNNNNNNNNNNNNNNNNNNNNNNNNNNNNNNNNNNNNNNNNNNNNNNNNNNNNNNNNNNNNNNNNNNNNNNNNNNNNNNNNNNNNNNNNNNNNNNNNNNNNNNNNNNNNNNNNNNNNNNNNNNNNNNNNNNNNNNNNNNNNNNNNNNNNNNNNNNNNNNNNNNNNNNNNNNNNNNNNNNNNNNNNNNNNNNNNNNNNNNNNNNNNNNNNNNNNNNNNNNNNNNNNNNNNNNNNNNNNNNNNNNNNNNNNNNNNNNNNNNNNNNNNNNNNNNNNNNNNNNNNNNNNNNNNNNNNNNNNNNNUCAUCAAGUGGUAAAAUUUUAUUUAUGUCUUUUACAGGUCUCACAUAAAAAGAUGUUCUAACUUAUAUCAGCUGAGGGCAGAAGGGAUCCCCAACUACCACUAUGAAUGGGCAAACAAAUUCAUUUCAAUAUUGAUAUUUUAGAAAUAAACUAAUGGCAACGAUCAUACUUCACCAUUGUGGCCUCUACAGAUAAGAUAAGACUAAUAAUAACCACGAUCGUGCUUUACCACUGUGGUCCUUACAGAUUAAUUGCGAAUCCACUCUCGUCAAAGAAAAUACUAGUACCAUCACAGGGAGUGGUUCACCAAUAGAUUCAGAUAUAGAAACAGAUGCAGAAACAGAAACUCCUCAGUGAUAACGGUCAAACAAAAUUUCAAUUCUCUCAUCUUUCUUUACUAAUUUCGAUCCACAGAUAAUCAUGAUUCCAGACCAUGGUGGGAGAUCAACAUAUCCCAACCUAAGUAGGCCUUUAUACCUAGAAUUGGCCAUCGGGUCAUCUUCUCUAACUGAGACUUAAUAGAACAACUCUUUCCACUAUCACUAAAGGGUAAAGUAGAAGGCCAAAUCCGCACAUAUAUCAAGUGUUAUGAAAUGUUCGAUUAAAUAUGCAUUUUCAUUUUUAAGGAAAACUACAAACACAUAUAUAUUCACUCGUAUCAUGUAGUCGAUGAACAAUGUUUAAUUUCAUGCAUAAAGACAAAUCAACAUUCGCAAAUUAAUUAUCUAGAAAUUCGUUUAGAAAUGUAUGAGAAAAUACUUGAGAAAUCUCUUACCAAAACCUUUAAGCUUUUCGAAGUCCUAACGGAAAAGAUGGAAAUAUUACUUAAUGACUUAUAAACCAUACGAAGGAAAUUUGAACUCCCUGUCUCUCUCACAAAUUUUCCCUAAAUUCUUUCUAUAAUAUGAGGAAGAAGAAAUGUGUGAAGUGAAAAGGGAACAGGUGGGCCUUUUAAAUAGAUUUUCCAUGCGAACGCCAUAAGAUUGCUUGGGCAAUCAGUGGCUGCUGGUCGACCACUACAUAAAAUUUGCAUUCACGCCCGAAUGGGCUAACAUGAUAGAUAAACUAGUAGGCAUGCUCGCGCACUGUCAUGUCCGCAACGUGACAACCCCGCGUGUGCAGCUGACACGCUCAUCGGCUUACGGGCCUUUCUCAUGGGUUCGUGGAGUUUUUUCGCACUGAUUUUUUCGUUUUAUGUUUUUUUUUUAUUUUUCCUAAAAAUUUCAGAAUAAUUUAGUACAAAAUAAUAAUAAUAAAUAAAAAUAAUAAUUUUGAAAAUUAAAAAUUAAGAUAAGGUCAAGCGUAAUAAAAUUCUAAAUACCGACUAAAAUUUAAAAUUAACGUCAAAGGCCGUAAUGCACUAAAAUAUGAAGUAUAAAAAAAGGGCAUUUGAAUACAAAGGUUUCGAGGUGCUACACUAAUCCUCAAAAUUUUUUCAUUUGAGCCUAAUGUCUCCUUAUUACAUUCUAUAAAAUUAUUAUUCUGAAUUGACUUUGAUGGAUGCAUCAUAACUUUUUUGAUGUUGUCUUAAGAAUCUUAAUAACGUACGUCGUAUCAUCUAUUCUAUACAAGGUGAUUAUUCAAUUACCAAACCAGUGUUGAUGCAUGAUAGGUUUAGAGCCUCCCAAGAUUCAUAUAUCUCAUUUAAGUUAAUCAUUUCUAACUCUUGAAAAUUAAUAUGUGAUUAUGUUGAAGAUAUCUUUUAUACUCUCUAAAUACCAUCAAAACAUACGCAUUGUCUUUAAAGGUUUGGGGUUAUAAACUAUUUUUAGUUGGUCCUACUUGUAUUGGAAAUUCACUAACGUGACAGUUUAAGCUUAUUAUUCCUUCUUAUAAUCAAGACAUUCAAGAUAGGUGAGCACAUAAAUUAAGUUGGUGUAGUGGUUCUUUUAUGACUUUCGAAUAGUACUUGUGGUUUUGGUACAAUAUUAUGGUUUUCAAGAACCUUAUUUUUCUUUUUUGAUAAAUUGAUAUCAUAUUAUAUCUUUAAUUCGUCAAAGUUUGAACGAUCUCUAAAAUGCCUCAAUACUUGAUUCAACUUUCCCUAAAGUCUUUUUGGAAUUUUCAUUACAAGUCAUGGAGUCAUAGUUACUACCAAUAAUCAUUAGGAGUUUCUUUAGUAGAAGGGUCACUCAUUAGUUUACUACAUUUGGUUAUGAUCUUAAGAUAGGGUUCACGAGCUUAUCACAUCAUCAAUUUCUCCUUAUUGGUUUGGAGAGAAAUUUCUUACGUGUGAUUGGUUAUAGGUCCACUACUAUUCUACUGCACUAUUCUUAUAAUACUUACUUUAAGGGUUUGUGGUAAGGUAUUGGUAUAUUUUAUCAUUUUUUUUCUUCUUUUAUGGUCUAUUUAGCUAUAAGGGAAUCAUAAUCUAAGGUUUUCAUGUUAUUAGUGAUUGUUGUCAAGGUAUGUCCCAAGGGUUUCCUUUUCUUUUAUAGAAAUCUAUUUUAGGAGGAACAAGGACUUUUUUGGGAGAAGUCUUCUAACUAGAAGUACUCUGUCUUAAUUUACUAUAAGGAUUUCCUAUCCGCUAAACACAUAAUUAUUCGAUCUCUUAAAGUACUUUUAUUCACCAAACAAUGAUUAUUCGCUAAUUUAGGGCUUGAGUUGUUAUUGGAACCUCUAUACGGAACCUUGAUAGAAAUGUUGGGAUGCAUAGGGUAUUCGUUCUUCCUAAAUAAAAUUCAUGGGGACUAUAAAAUUCAUCAAGGUAUUUGGUAGUUAUUUAGUCUCCCAAAAUGCUUAAACUUAGGUAUACUCGUUUUUGGAUUUUUACUUCUUCAUGGUCUCCAGCGAAUUUAGAAAAGGUUUUCUUAAAGCUCACAUACUUGGGAUGUUUGCCUCCACUUUAGGGAUUUUUCCUUCAAUCAAAGGGUUUUUUCCCCCUAUUCGGCAGAUUUUUUUCCCAUUUGGGGGAUUUUAUUUUUAUUUGGAGAAAUUUUCCCAUAGAAUGCUCCCUUUCCCCUAAUCUAAGCAAAAUUCAACAUCUUCUUAGGCAUUUACCCUAUUUUCUUUCUUCGGUGGGUGCAAUUCUUCAGUAAGAGUUUGAGGCUCUGAAGGUUUGUCUUAUCAUUUGCUAUAUUUGACUAUAGAAAUUACUUAUUCACUCUUUCCAGUUAGCUUCGGGUAAAGCCAUACUUGUAAAGGUUCGAACUAAAAGAAAAGGAUAUAUUAUCUAAAGGCGGAAACAAAUAAUAAAGUUAGGGUUUACAUUUCUUACAUAAUAAAUUAGAAUACCCAAUAGGGCUACAUGAAUAUCCCUACUACAAUGGAUUGUAAAAAGAAGCAAAUAAAUGAUUUAAAACAAAUAGAUAAAUAUCCUAGGGGUUAACCUCCACUAGCUAUUGAAGGUGUCCGGGAGGUAAACUGCUCACAACCUUCUUGCUGAUCGGGAUUUAGAUCUUAGUUCUCUUAAUAUAAAAUGGUUAAUAGAAGAUUGAGCUACACUAGUACAGUAAGAAUAUCACUCUAAUUACUGAUAUGAAAAAUAAAAGUUGGUAAAAAUCAUAAAACAACUAAUGGAUCCCUUAAUUUAAGUAAAUUCAUUUAAUAUCAAAAAACUAUUUCCAUACUUACUAUUAUGAGUUUUUCAAAACAAACUUAUAAGACGAACACCUAUAUAACAUCUAUAAUCUCAUGUACAAGUGAGUAAAGUUGGUCAUUCUCCAUUUUUACCUGUUUACUGGGACUCUUGGGGGUCCAUAGGGACAUUCCCUUGUUCGUGAACCUAAUAUCUAGAUUUGUUGAUUUACCUAGUCGUCCUCACAUUCCGUCUGGUAAUGGGCGCUGAACACACCAUCGCAUCGAUACCUCAUUCGGUAUGAGGGUGAACCAUAUUUUCUAACCUUUCCGGUAUGGGAUCCCUCAGCUCCAUCUGACUGAGGUAUUGUCUACGGUAGGGUUUUUACUAUGUACCGAGUCCGUCCACUCUUUUCUAGGGUACCCAGUAAGUCAUCUAUAUAUAAAUCCCCAUCAACAAAUAAUCAUCAAUUGUCUACUAACAUGUCAUUUUAUAUUCGCAGAUCAAUCAAACGACAUUUAAACAAAUAACACAUCUUUUAUACCUUAACAAUUAAGAAACAUAAUUAGGGUCCUAUUUUAAAUCAGUCAAUCAGAUAAAAAUCACAAUCAGACAAUCAAUAAUGAGGAAGUAACUAAAUGUAAUAAUUAAAUCAUACGGCAGAAUAAUAAAUAAUUCAGACAGUGUAGGAAAAUAAAUAGACAUAUAGACGAGUUUAGAGCAAUCGUAUACUAACUAAUUUCUAGCUCCACUAGUGACUUGUAAUUAUUGUUAGAGUUUUUCUAAUUUUUACAAAACAUACGAUUACCAAUUUAUUAAAUCUCUAUUUAUUGUAAUAGGGAAUAGGGUGAGAGAUCCUUACUCGGAUCGGUGCUUCAACGUACUGUGCUACCCACUACGCCUCUUGAGGGGCCCUAAGUUUCCUAAAUUUUUUCUGCGGAAAAUUAAAAUNNNNNNNNNNNNNNNNNNNNNNNNNNNNNNNNNNNNNNNNNNNNNNNNNNNNNNNNNNNNNNNNNNNNNNNNNNNNNNNNNNNNNNNNNNNNNNNNNNNNNNNNNNNNNNNNNNNNNNNNNNNNNNNNNNNNNNNNNNNNNNNNNNNNNNNNNNNNUAGAAAUAUUGGAAAUAAUAUUUAAAGAAUGUAGAACUAUUCAACACCCAACCGAUCAAUAUUAUUAAUUAAUUUUUUCCUUCAACAUAUUAUAGAUAUAUAUAAUAUAUAAAUUAUUACAGGGUCAAGUUGAGUGAUGAUACACCUAUAACAUAUAAUUAAACCAUAUAUUUCAAAAAAAAAGAAACAUGAAAAAUUGGGGACAAGGCAUUUGAGUCUAAUUAUUGGAGAGCUUGAUAAUUCUUGCUAGGCAGUUGUCUGCAGGCCUUGGAAUGGGUAGGUAUACGAUGGGGCUGGCAGGAUUGAGCCGUUCAAGCCUGAAUCAUGUGAAGACAAAUUAUUAAUUAAUUAAUUAAGUAGAAGUGAAAGUAUGAAUUAGAAAACAAAUUAUUAAGUCUGUAAUUAUUGACCUGUAGUUGAGAAGGAAAUAGUGGAGGAUAAUGGAGACCUCAAGCUUAGCUAGGUCAGCUCCUGGGCAUAUCCUGCUUCCUCCUCCGAAUGGAAUGAAAGAAGUUGGUUUGGGUUUGUAAUCCUACAUCAACAAUUAUUGAUAAUUUAUAUAUGUUUAUUAUAUGUAUUUAUUCGUGAAAAAUAUGUAUAUAUAGAAUAAUUAAAGUAGAGAAAAAUUCUAAAAAGGUAUAUAUAAAUUUAGAAAUUAAAAAUUAAAAAACAUUUUGGAGAAAACUUACAUCCCAUCUGGAUGGAGAAAACUCUGUUGGGUUUUUAUGGAUUUCAGGAUCCAUGUGAACGCCUCUAUUCCACACUAAUACUUUCCAGCCUUUGGGUAUUAAAUAACCUGAUCAAUGGUGCCAUAAUUCAAUCCUUCAAUAAUUAUUAAUUCGUGUUCUACAAAUAUAAAUAUGAUUCCUUUAUUUUAAAAUUUGUCAAAAAAAAAAAAUUGAUAAAAUCUACCAAAUUAUCUAUUCUAUAGAGGAAUUAAAAAAAAACAGAAAUUAAAAAGCAAAAAAAAAAUUAACACUAUAUACUAACCAUUUAUAGUUACAUCCUUUUUUGCCUGUCGGAAAUUUGAAAAUGAAAGACUUGUUCUUCGAAGUGUUUCAUCAAUUACCUACCAAUUUUUAUCAUUAUUCUAAAAAAUUAUACAGAAACAAAUGACAAUUCUUUUAAUUAAAAAAAUAAAUAUAUAAAUAAACAUAUCAUACUUUACUAGUGUACCGCAUUUGUCUUAUCUCAUUAAGAUUCAAACCCUUCUCGGUGGAUGCUCUUCCCUUCACCACCUCCUCUUGCUCUUCCUAAAAUUUCAAUGUCAAGUUUAAUCAAACUAAUUAUCAACUACUAAGUUCCAAUAUUAAUAGUUCUAUGUAUAUAACAAGUAUAUAAAUAUAUAUAUAUAUAUUAACAUGGGCCUUCUGCAACAAGUCUGGAUGUUGAUUGAGGUAUAUAAUUGCCCACAUUGCAGCGUGUGCUGAGCUUUCAUGUCCGGCUAACAGGAAGACAAGCAGUAAAUCUAUAAUAUCCUCGUCUUCCAGCUUCACACCAUUCUCAUCUUCAACUUCCAACAAUAAAUCAAUCAUCCCUCUCUUUCGAUUUUCCCAAUCUUCAUUUUUAAGUCCCUUCCUUUCCUCAAGAACUCCUUGAAGAAUCUCCACCAACUUCUCUCGUGCCUACGCAUCCCAUAGACAAUAAAAAUCUAUUAAGAGUAUUAAUUCAAGUGCGUGUUAAAUAACUUAGUUUAUCGAUUAUACCAAAAGUUUAAAUGGAUGAGAAACUGCUCAAUUUAUUAUUUAUAAAUUAAUAUUCUCCUUCAUGUGUGAUAUUAUUAAGUUUCUAUGGUGAUACAAAAUAAUAAAAACUACAUACUAAUAGCACAAUAUAAUACGAAAUAAUAUAAACUGAUAAGAAGUAGCACAAUAUAUUAUCUACAUACUAAUGGGAGUUGAACUAUGUGAAUAGACAUACACUAAGAUGUAAAUAGGACAUACUUUGAGUGCCUUGUGAAAGGCAAAACCAGGGAUAUUAAUAGCAGCUGCCUUUAAUCCAUAGUUGAAAUCAACAUAGUACUUCUCCAUUAAUUUACGGAUGGAAUCAUUAUGAGAACCCAAGAAUAUGUAGGUAAUGACUUUAAACGCAACCUUUCUCAUCUCACUUAAGAAUUCAAUUGGGCAAUGCAUGGAGGCCCACUCGUCCAAUGAACUAACCACAAUGUCCUCUAUAUAGGGAACAUACAUCCCCAGAGCGUUGUGUCCAUUGAUGGGCGAGGUGGUGAGCUUGCGUAGACGCUUGUGCUCAGCAUGUGAAAUACUAUGAAAUGAUCUUUUUCCAGUCAACUGCUUCGUUGAGGCCGGGUAGCCUAGUGCAAAGUGCUCGUCAUCUGCUAACACUUUUCGGCAAGUCUCCGGUAUGCUCACAAUGAUGCUUGGGCUCCCAAACACAUAUGUCUUAUAUAUACCAGUUCGUCCAUAUCUACACAUCAUGCAUCACAUAUGCAUACAUAUGUGAGGAACUUACUUCUUAAUAUCCUAUGUUUUAAGAUUUUUCAGAUUUAAUGCAUAAAAUUCAUUUUAACACAUAUAUGUACACACAUAUUUACAUAUAUAUAUAUAUAUAUAUAUAGAGAGAGAGAGAGAGAGAGAGAGAGAGAAACCUGGUAACCAAAUCAUAGAUGAAGUUAUCUGGAGUUUGGGAUUUAAAGGUUUUGAUGAAAGAGGGCAUAUUCCCAAGCAAAGGCCAUCCCAUAUCUCCCGGAGGAAGAAGCUGCUUCUUCUUCCCCAACCUCCUAACAUAAUACCACUCAUUUACUCUCCUCACUAACCCAAAUACUACCACAUAUCCACACACAAUACCUCCAAAUAUUAGUAAAAGCAAAUUUAAGUACUGCAUUUUCUUUUUAAUUAUUCUCUUUUUUCUGUUUAAGCACUUCUAUUUAUAGUCCAUCGUUAACCAUCCAAUAUCUUUUUAUUCUUACCAAGUAAACGUCCCAUUUAUAAAAAAUAUAUAUAUAUAUAUAUUUAUAUGUCUUUUGUUUUCAUGAAUGCAAACCACCUCUAUGUCAUUUUCAUUUCUUUCCUAAUUUUAAAAUAAACAACUUUGUUUCUUCUCUAUUCAAUCUAUGCCAGUAACUUCCAAUAUGACCUAGUUGUUAUUAUAUAUUUGUGUAUGUGUAUAUAUAUAUGGGACCAUGUAUCUAGAUAUUAUAUUACUUAUAAUUAAUAAACCCAUUUAAUAAUUAAUUAUUACAAGCUGAGUAUCUUGCUCAGUCUUCCUAUUUAUAUGACUACAUUUUUUAAUACAUUAUAAAAAAGAGAAAAAUGUAACCCAAACGAUAAGCAAACAUGAGUUGCGUACUCAAAACAAGUUGACUUUUUUCCCUAUGAGAACCUUUUGCUCCCAAGUUGAUAAAAUAAUGAUCAAUUAAAAAUUUUUUUGGUCAAGAAUUAUGUUAAAAAUUUUAACUUGGUAUUUAAGCUGAAAAAAUAAAUAAUGAUAUAUAAAUAUAUAUAGAAUAACUCUAAUAAGUAAAAGUAGUAAGUUAAACAUUGGAAAAAAUAAGAAUAAAAAGAAAAGUGGAACCCUCUCUAAUGAAGUUUUGAUUGUGGGAGACCUACCAAUGCAAACAACUGAAGUUUGAUAAGGAUUAUUGAACCUAGAUAAUUUUUUUUGAAUAUUAACGAAGACAUAGUAUAUUAUUUUAGUAAUGUUUAAUAAGCUUUUUUAAUGUUGGAAUAGAUUUAUAAGCUUAAAAUCCCACAUGCAUGAUAAAGAAAUAUUUCAAGAAUGUUUUUUCAUGAAGAAAAUCAAACUUAGAGUGGCCAAGAGGAAACAAAGAUCUAAAGAAACUUACGUUGAGUUCUAGAACAUUUAAAAAAUAAUUUAUGAAUGCUAAAAAAUUAAGGACUAAAAUAUUGUUUUAGUUCAUGUAUUAUUUUUUUUUUCUGUUUGAUUUGAUCUUUACUUCAAUUUUGUGUUAAAUUAAUCUAUAAACUUUCGAAAAUAUUUGAAUUGAUUCAUCUCUUUUAUUGUUCACUAAUACCUUUAUUCAAUAGUAUUAUUUUGAAUCAAUUUCAAUAUUAUUCUUUAAAUAACAUUUUAGAUGAAAUUAUUAAAAUUUUUACACUUAGUACAUUAAUGCUAAUAAAUAAAACAAAAAAAUUAUUAUUAAUUUAAUUAUAUAUUAAAAAUAUAUAUAAUUAUUAAUAUAUUUUAAGAGUUCUAAGUCGUAUAUUAUUAAUUAUUUAAUAUUAAUUAUUUUUGGCUUAUUAUUUAACUUUGAAAGUUAGUGAAUAAGUAAUUGUGGUGCCUAGUAUAUUAUAAAUAAUAUUAGAGCAGUUGUGAGCUCAAUAACUCUACAUCGAAGGAAUUUUACAACUUUUAGACAUCUGAAUUGUUAUGUAAUAUGCAGCAUAUAUCCCAGUUUGAUAUAAUUUAUGCUUGUAAUAUGUACUCUACUUAUCUUUCUUUCAUAUAGGAGUGUCCAUCGAUUCGAAAUUAAGUCGGAUUAGAUUGUAUUGAGAACUUAAUAAGAGAGAAGAUUCGGGUUGAAGAUCAGAUUGUUUUCAUUUCGGUCCCAACUAGGACAUAUUGAUAUUUUCCAAUUUACAUGCAAUCUAGUUUGAAAUAGGUCAAACUAUUGUUAUUUUAAUAUAUUUUUUAAUUAAAGAAUUAUAAAAAACACAAAAAAUUAAUAAAAGCAAAAGGUAAAUCUGGUUCAAUCUACUAGGUGCAAAUAAGCUAGAAUUUUGAUUUGGGUUCCCAAAGUGAGAAUAAGACCAUUUCGUUGAAUCCAAUUGAAGUUGAAUAAUCUAGUCCAAACUGGGAAAAGAGAAUACCUAUACUUUGAGAGGAUGGAUUGAGUCACUAUUUACUCAUUCAAGGUUGGACAUGAAAGUUAUACAUGAAGAAUAUGUAUGCAUAUGAAGAUGUAUCAAUGUAUGUAUAUACAAGAAUAAGUAUGUUUUUUUAUACAAGAAUAAUUGUAUACAUAUAUAUAUAUAUAUAUAAAUACGUGGUAGGUGAGACACAAAAACUAUAAAUUAACCCAAUAUACAACUACUCAAGUAAUCUCCUGAUAGUAAACUAUUCUAAUAAUAUGGGAGAACUUGUUGGCUGUUUCUAAUAAAUUGUAAUAACAUCAUUGUUAAUAAGCUUGACAUGGUCGCCCAUUGAAUUUCAUACAAUUUCCACAUAAUUAAUUACAUGCACCCUACAUAAUAUAAAACAACUUCAAGUAAACAUAUUAGGAGAGUUUAUAAAUUACACAGCAUCUAAAUACUUAUAACAGCAUUUUAAAAAAUUAUUAGAUAUAAUUUUUACUUUAGUGAAAUCAUAAUAUUUUCUAAAAAAUGUUUGUAUUGAUCAAGUCAUAAGAAACAAAGAUAGUCUCACUAAUAUAUAUUCUCUAAUUACAGUAUUUCUCUUUUUUCGCUUUUUUGAUGUUGUUAUUCUAACAAAAAUGAGAGUUAGAUCAACUACAUUUUUACUAAAUAUAUAAAUAUAAACUAAUAAAAUUUAGAACAAUUUAUUAAUUUAAUAGCUGAAAUGUGAGCUAUACGUUUUUAUUCAGUUCCAAUUUUUGUCUAGUUUCAAUUUAGUUUUUAAACGUAUAAAAUGAUUUCAAAGUAUAAUUUUUAAUUUUUUAAUAAAAAUAGCAUAUUUUACUUGAUUGACAUAAAAAUUACAAAUAUAAUUAUUUUACUUAAGAUUGAAUAACAAGUUGAUAAUCUAAGUCAACAAGAAUUUAAAAUAUUAUAAUGAAAGCAUUAUUUAUAUGUCAAAUAAAUAUUAAGACUACACUUCCGUUGUUCACUUGACACUCGCAACAUUAUUUUAAACACAAAUCAUGUAAUCUAGACACUGACCUAUUCUGGAUCUGCAUUUUGUUCACCAACUUUUAAUAUAUGUAUAAUUAUAAUUAUAAUGUGUUGUUUACUACUAAUUUAAAUAUCAUUGCUAAGGUUAACGUAUCUUAGACUUAUAAUUACAACAAUAUCUUAUUACUAAUUUUAUUGCUAAGUAUGUAUCUUAUUCGGUAGUUAUAAAUUAAGCUAUCUCACCUACCAACUUAAAUAAACAAUAAAUGGGAGACAUAAGGAGUAUAGACACCUUCUUUUCCUUUUAACUUCUAUUUCAAUAAUGGAUGAUAAUUGGAUUUCCCACUGAAUGUAUAUUUUAAUUAAUCAUGAAAUAUAAAUAUGUAUAUGAAAAGUAUAUUUUCUUUAAUUCUCAAUAAACCAGAGUAUAAGCUAAUACCAAAUCCAAAUAACAUCCAUGAUUAAACAAAUAAGUCAAUAAAUUAUCAGUUAGUACUAAGGAAGAAUAAGUCCUUAACCAACAAGCUUAGUUAAUCAAAAUAGCACACCGAGCUGCCAAGUAACAAAAGAAAAAAAUACACACAAGUAGAUAAAGCAUAUAAGUAAGGAACUACAAAAAAGUAGGUGGUAAAUAGCUUUACGAGGACAUUAUCUACAAGAUUUAUAUAUGCUAUGUGACACCUUUGGACCUGUUUAACUUGAAUUAUUUAUCUUUUAAAUUUAAAUUUAAACUUUACAGUUUACAAAUUUUGUAUGAUGAUUUUAAUUAUUAUUAUUAAAAAGGAUAUUUAAAAUUUAAAAACAAACGAAGAAAACAAAGGGAGAACAUGUCUCGGGGGCAAGUCUCGGAAGGAAUGCCCGUGAGUAUGCGCGCGAAGAUGCGAGAUUGCUUGCCCACGCACCCGCAAGCCCCUGUGCAUGCGGAACAGUGCCACACACGCACACAAGGGGUAAGAUCUGCCUGCUACAGUGGUCGUGCCGGUGUCAUUGCAGCACGCUGCCAUAGGAUACAACCUAGGCCCAGAUAGGAGGCAUCACUAUAAACUGUAUAUCCUCCCGAUCCACUCGGUAAAGCCAGUACGGGUGCAGUGGUCAGCCACUCCUUUAAUUCUGAAAAACUUUUCUCACAGUCCUCAUUCCACUCAAACUUGGCAUUCUUCUUUAUAAGUCGGGUUAGGGGAGCCACUAGACUAGAGAAUCAUUCGACGAACCUGCGGUAAUAACCUGUCAUUCCUAGGAAGGUACGGAUUUCCUUAACUGAUGUCAACUUCUCCCAGCCAAGUACCGCUUCAACUUUUUCGGGAUUCACUGAUACUCCUUCCUUCGAUAUGAUGUGUCUUAGGAAGGCGGUCUGCUCAAGCCAGACUCCACACUUACUCAACUUUGCAUAUAACUUCUUUUUUUCAAGAACCUACAAAAUUUGGGCUAGAUGGUGAGCAUGCUCUUCUCUGCUUUUUGAGUAGACCAAGAUGUCAUCGAUGAACACGAUAACAAAUUGAUUCAAGAAUUCUCUGAAGACCUUGUUUAUCAGAUCCAUAAAGAUGGCCGGGGCGUUGGUUAGCCCAAAUAGCAUGACUAGAAACUCAUAGUGUCCGUACCGGGUUUGAAAGGCCGUUUUGGGGAUGUUUUCUGUUCUUAUUUUCACAUGAUGGUAACCUGAUCGUAGGUCUAUUUUGGAGAAGACCUGCGCGCCCUGCAGCUGAUCGAAGAGGUCAUCAAUUCUGGGAAGGGGAUAUUUAUUCUUGAUUGUGACCUUGUUCAAUCCUCUGUAAUCAAUACACAGUCUCAACGUUCCAUCUCCCUUCUUGGCGAAAGUGACUCUGGCACCCCAAGGAGACACAUUGUGUCUAAUAAAAUCACUGUCUUGCAAUUCAGUGAUCUGUUUCCUCAGCUCUUCCAUCUCAACGUGGCUCAUGCGGUAAGGAGCAAUCGAAAUGGGCUGGGUGCCUGGUUGUAGGUCUAUAGUGAACUCAACUUCCCUGUCCACUGGCAGUCUGGGUAGUUCGUUCAAAAAUACAUCUGGAAAGUCUAGGACUACUGGAAUCUCUUGAAUACAAAUUUCAUUCUUGGGCUUGCCUAGUUAGAGAAAAUAACAAGGUUACAGUACUUGAAAAUUAAGAAAAUUUACCAUCAAGGAAUAAGUACCAAAUGAUUUUAUUAAUUUGUAAAUGGCUUCUCAUUAGGAGGAUUAAAUACAACCUUCUUGUUAAAGCAAUCUAUGAUGGCGUGAUAUGCCGCUAGCCAAUCCAUCCCUAAAAUUAUAUCAAAAUCCCCCGUGUCUAACCCUAUUAGGUCUACACUCAGUUUUUUUUUUACUAUCUCCACGGCACAAGCCCUAUAGACAACUUUUCUUAAUAGCAUUUCACCCUCAGUAGUAGACACAAAUAACAUUGAAUUAAGUUUAUCAGGUGAUACAUUAAGUUUAGAUGCAACAACACGUGAAACAAAUGAAUGCAAUGCACCAGUGUCAAAUAAAACAUGAGCAAUAUGGUUACAGAUAGUGUACAUACCCUGUACCACGUCCGGAUCGGCAUCGGCAUCCUGCUGUGUGAGGUUGUAAACCCUGCCCUGAAUAGGAGGUCUUCCUUGGUUCUAGUUCCUCAGGCACUCUCUCGCAUAGUGCUGGGCACUACCACAUAUGCGACAGGUGUUGUUGAGGUGAUAGUAUGGUCGGUCCCUGUGAUCCCUGCCGCAGUGCUGACAUAUCUUGCCACAUGUUGCCCUGGGAGACUGAGGGGGAGCCUGGAUUGCCGGUCUGGGCCUUUUAUUUUGUUGGAUAGGUGCAGUAGGUGAUGGUCUGCGGGGUGGAGUUGAGGGUCUGUGACUUCCUGCUAACUGAGAAAGGGUGUUGAAACUCUUCUCCACGAUCUGCGCCUUUGCUAAAACGGUUGAAUAUGUUUUGAGCUCUAGUACCAAUAAGUGCUGCUUGAUCUCUGGGUGGAGGCCCCACUGGAACCUCCUAGCCUUCCUGCCCUCAUCUAUCAAUGUCUCAGGGGAGUAUCGCCCCAUCUCUAGGAACUUACGAGCAUAUUCCGAUACCGUCAUGUUUUCCUGGACUAGCUGAACAAACUCCAUCUCUUUUAGAUGUCGGAUGUGCUCGGAGAGGUACUCCGCAUAAAAGACUACUAAGAACUGCUCUCAAGUGACUGGUGUAGGCAGGGUGGUCUGCUUGAGCUCCCACCAACGACCUGCUUUUCACAAAGAAGGGUUGAGUAACGAUUAAUUAGUUGGUAUUUGUCUAAAUAUUAUUGUGUAAGGGACGAGUCUGAGGAACGCGACUCUGAUACCAAUUGUAACGGCUUCGAAAAUUAAAAGAAAACGUAUAUAUAAAAUUCUAAGUACGGAAGCGAAAUGAAAUAUUAUGAUUAACAUCCCUUACACAGUAAUCAAAACGUAUUAAACAUAUGAAAGAAUAAGUUAACUAAAAUAAAUACUAGAAAUGAAUACUAUAAGGAAAACUAUAACAUCUUUAGGCAUUUACUCGCCGUCUUCCUGCGGAACGGGCUCGGGAACCAAGUCCUCAUAAUCUGAAAUGGUUAAGUAAGGAAUGAGUUACACUAGCCCAGUAAAGAUGUAGCGCCCAUAAAGGAGCAAAAAAAAAAAAAAAAAAGCCACAUCGGCAGCCACGUCAGCAGGCCCAGUCAGCAGUCCCGUCAACCCGGGACCUGCCACGUGGCAAGACCACGUCGUUCCAGAACGGGCCAAGUUGGCGAUCCGCGUAGGUGCGAUCGGACGGCCCAGAUCAAGCGUGCGAUCGGACGGCCCAGAUGCAAUCGCACGGACGGUCCAGAUUCAAUCAAAAACAGACGGCCCAGAUUAAAACAAAAUGGACGGCUGAGAUCAAAAGGCAAAGGGUUAUAAAUAGAACCCCCACACCAGACCACAAACCCUAACCGCCUGCCGCUCCCCGGAGAAGACGAACCAGAAGCCGGACGCCGCCACCCGCCGCCGCAUCGAGGAAAUUUCCGACCGCUGAUCGAGGUAAAUUUCGUACCCCCGACUCGUUUUUCCACGCUGAUUCCUCCAGUGGCUAAAUCGGAGCCAAAAUCCCGGCCAAACGGCCGGAAUACACGGCCGAAGCCCAGCGGCGCCGCCGCACCCCUUCUCGGUUUUUGCCUCCGAUGAGGCCCUUCCCGGCCUUCGUUUGAUGCAAUUUUUAUAUCACCGUGAUCACCAUUCUUUUCUCUACAGGUUGACCGGAGUCGAAUCACCAAAACACGAACCUCGCCGGAGAGCCGCCGCACCCGAGAGCGCCGCCGCCGGUAAGCUCAGUUUUUCCGUGAUUUUUUGGCCCCCCGAGGGCCCUAGGGUUGUUUUCUCGCAGGGACCGAUGCGAGUGUGGCCAAAUUCAGCCAGAAACGGCCGAAAACAGCCAACCCGAGGCGAAUCGCCGCCGCCAACGGCGGUGCCGUCGCCGGAGCACGGCGGAGCCGCCGUGCCGGAGUUUCGAUAUUGGCCGAAAGGGGGCCCUGGGCCUAAUUUGGGAUUUUUUGGAACACGUGCAGGUACCAGUAGUGCGUUUCAGUUCCCCGAGAAAAAUUCAGGGAAAAUUAAGGACAGCUUUUAGGCGCACUGUGAAGCCGUAUUCGGACCCCGAAACGUGUAAGGACCCCUCACCUUAUUUCCUAUCACGGUUUUAAAGUUCAAUAAAUGAUAAAACGGUAUUUCAUGAAUCAACGAAUGUGUGAAAUUGCUUAAGGUCGCUAAUGGAGCCCAAGUCUAGUGUAUUUGUCGGUUAACUGUUAUUUGGCCUGUUUUACAGUUUUAAAUGCAGCAUGAGGUUCGAUAAUUUCAUUUUAUAGUUUCGUGUGCAUAUUUUACUGUUUUAUUGAUUAUGGAUUAAAUGACCGGGACAUUGAUGCUGUAUGUUAUCUGUUUAGCAUAAAUUACUGUUUGCUUGCUUGUAUGUGGAUUAAUGAUGCUGACUGAGGAAAAAGAGAGUGAAAAAUUAUGUAAUUGGGCAAUUGUAUAAUGUGGUCAGCCUGACUAGAUAUCCUGAGAGAUGAUGGACGGACCGGGUCCGUAGGGAACCCUACCGGGAUUGUGGUCUCCCAUACCGGACGGGGUAUGGAGAUCUUAUGUGUUUUGGCGCCCAUACCGGACGGGGUAUGGGGACGGCCCGUUUCACCCUCAUACCAGACAAGGUAAUGAGGUCUAUGUUUUGGCGCCCAUACCGGACGGGGUAUGGGGACGGCCCGUUUCACCCUCAUACCGGACGGGGUAAUGAGGUCUAUGGUUUGACGCCCAUACCGGACGGGGUAUGGGGACGGCCCUGGAAUGGAUUUCAAGUGUUAAGGAUUAACGGGUAGCGGGACCCCUAUGGAUCCCCAUGGAUACUAGUGGGCUGGUGAAUCAGGAAAAUAUGUUGUGUAACGAUUGAAUUACGAAAAGUUUGAUAGGUAUUAUGUUAUACAGUUCAUAUAUAUGUUUUCAUGAUGAUGAUGAUGUUAUUGCUUUCGUAUAUUGUUUUAUGAAUUUCACCGAGGUAAGUGAAUGGUAAAUGUUUUAUUAUUAAUAAAAGGAUUUGUUGUAAAUUAUGCUCCAUUGGUCUUUUUGUGUUUUCUACCCACCUUUACCUCCGUGACGGUGAGAUAUCGUGAUGUCUUUACUGGGCUAGUGUAGCUCAUUCCUUAUUUAAUCAUUUCAGAUCAAGAGGAUAUCGUUCCCGAGCCGGUUCCGCAGGAGGACGACGAAGGGGAUGCCUAAAGACUCCCUAGUCACAUUCGUAGUUUUUUUUUACUUUCACGUUUCUCCUUUAGGUAGUUUAAUCUUUUAUAUUUUGUGAGCACGUUUUUGGUUUUAGUGUAAGGGAUGUUAUUUAAAUUUUGACUCCGCUUCCGCAUUUGAUAUUUAUAAUAUAAUUUCCAUUUUAAAUUUCCGGGGCUGCUACAGUUGGUAUCAGAGCCAGGUUUCCUCGGACCCAUCCCUUACACAAUAGUGCCUUAGAGAAAUACUCACCGAUAUAUCGUUACUCAAUCAUUCCUUGUGAAUGCAGGUACACGGGAAUGAGGAGAGGAAUGCCCCCACUAAACCGAGCGGCCCCAGAUAAUUCACUUCGGGAGGAUUUAGAUAGACUAUUCGAGAUGGUGGAGGCUCUCGCAGCUGCCCAGCGAAGGCAAGAGGAGAGAAGGGAGUUACCGGGACCUCCUCCGCUGGCGCAGGUUGAGCCCCCGCUACAGCAGGCUGAUCCCGAGCCACCCCGGCAGGAGCCUAUUCCUCCACGGUACCACCCGGC